UCUACAACGACCUCAACAAGUUCGGCAAGCGAUGGAUGAAGGAACUCCCCUCGGUGGUCUGGAGCCUAAGGACGACGCCGAGUCGUGCCACGGGUUUCACGCCGUUUUUCCUGGUCUACGGGGCCGAAGCUAUCUUGCCCACUGAACUGGAAUACGGCUCCCCGAGGACGAGGGCCUACACCGACCAAAGCAACCAAGCUAGCCGAGAAGACUCGCUGGACCAGCUGGAGGAGGCUCGGGACAGGGCCUUACUACACUCGGCGCGGUACCAGCAGUCCCUGCGACGCUACCACGCCCGAGGGGUCCGACCCCGAGACUUCCAGGUGGGCGACCUGGUGCUUCGGCUACGGCAAGACGCCCGGGGAAGGCACAAACUCACGCCCCCCUGGGAGGGGCCAUUCGUCAUCGCCAAAGUUCUGAAGCCCGGAACAUACAAGCUGGCCAACAACCAAGGCGAGAUCUACGGCAACGCUUGGAACAUCAAACAGCUACGUCGCUUCUACCCUUAAGAUGUUUUCAAGUUGUUCAUAUACCUCGCACCUACGCAAAGUUUAGUCGUCAAGGAAGGGUCGGCCUAGCCUCGGCAAAGCCCGACCCUCCCUCGGGGGCUAAAAGGGGGGAGACCCCCUCUGCGUCGAAUUUUUCCUCGAAAAAGGAUCUCUUUUUAGCAGAAUUUCUUUCGUGCUUUUUGACUGCUUCGAAAAGCGGAUCCUGGAAACGACGGAGUACACGUAAGCAGCCAAGGCCGACCGAGCCGAGGGACUCCUACGCCUCCGGGAUACGGAUACCUCACUCAUCACCUUCUGUGAUAAGUAACUCGCGUUCGGAUAAAGUGAUUCCGCGGACCGAACAAGUCUUCACGUUCGGAAGCUCUUCUGUCGAGACGGUCCUUCAAGCCUUCUCGACUGAAUCGGUGACAGGGCCUCAUGGACGGGCGAAAGUACGUGUAAGCGGCAAGGCCGACCGAGCCGAGGGACUCCCACGCCUCUGGGAUACGGAUACCUCACUCGUCACCUUCCGCGAGAAGCAACUCUCGCCCACACAAACAUCCCUGUUACCGACGGAAGGUCCAGAUGCUCGAAAUAAGAGGAAAAGGAGACGCGGCUUUACAACGAAGCGAGGGUGUGUUUUCUGGCCUCGGCAGCCACAGAAGGCACACGCUACAAGACAAUCUGAUCCUGCAGGCUCGGGUCUUCACGCCGAAGGGGGCUGCACCACCCUCGGCAUCGACGACGCCUUCAGCAAGGUCCGACCCAGCCUCGGACGGCGACGCGGUCCGGGGACUUCUCCGGGAAUCUGGCCCGAGCAGGCGGCUCGGCCGGUUACCCCUGGGGCCUCGGCCAAGCAUCUUCCAAGGGCGCCAGCCCGACCCGAGGCCUCGGGUCAUCGACUCUGACGUCGGGCCACGCUGACGGGCAACCCGGCCAGGCUCCGGCCAACCAGGUUCCCAUUUUCGAGCCAACUCCGCCUCUGUUCGUAUUGAUAUCGCUACCCCUGGCCUCGGCUCGUCGAAGAGCGGCCAAGGGGUCCCUUUAACUAAGCUAGAGAAACCUCAGACAACAAGGCCGAUCGAGCCGAGGGAUUCCUACACCUCCGGGAUACGGAUAUCUCACUCGUCACCUUGACACGGGGCGACUCAUGCUUGGUGAAGCGGUUCAGAUAAUCAACAGGCGAGACUUAGUGCUCGAAAAUGAGGAAAAAACACGGCUCCGUGCCGAAAUUACAUACAUGUUCAGGCCUCGACAGCCACAAUGAACAAGAAACACUGGCAUUCAAGGUGCCAUCACAAACGGAACUCCGGUUCCGUCCCCGCGGGUACGAGCGGCCUCGGGCCUGCGGGGCGACGAUCAUCGGGAGGCUCGACCUCUGCGGCAGCAGCCAUGGUCCCGGGCGGACGCGGCCACCAGGGGGCUCUUGUUCGCGGUCCCGCUCAAGGGACGCGAACCGGCCAUCAAAGCCAAAGAGCAGGCCGCUCCCAAGCGCUCCGACAGAUCCUCGCUGCCGUCCUCGCCGCGAAUGCGAGGGGAAGGACGGAAUGUUGCAUCCUAGCUGGGCAGCAACAGUUCGCCUUCCCCGGCAUGACUGGAGGACGUCUCCGUCGCAGCACGGGAGGGCGAUUGCCACCACCAGAAGCUGGAAGAGGAGGUGGUCCGCCGACCCACGCAGGAGGUAGAGCCCUGGCUCGCCUCGCGCCCCGCCCCAGCGAGGAUGACGAACACCCCCGAUGCUGGGGCGGGAUCACAGCCUGGUUUGCCUCUCCCCAUCCAGGAGCUGAAGGUCACCGUCUUGGGUGACCGCCGGCGGAGGGGAGCAACCAGGCUGUGUGAUGAAAAUCCUUGAAGCCGAACGAUGGCUGAAAGGUACCAACUCCCACGGAGUUGCGUUCCUCCGACGAGGAGGCGGAAAGACGGCGGGCACCCCCCAUCCGGGGGCUUGGAAGAUGGAAAGACGCGACGCAUAAGGGAGGGAGAAGACAUGGUUGCCUUUCGAAAGGGGUCGCCCUCCUUUUAAAGGCGACUCUCCCUACGUGCGCCCCCAAACGCCACGGGCCGAGUCUUCUCCAACACGCUCCAAGGCCCUCCUCUGCGGCGCGGGGGCUGGGUCCCGCAUGUCAUGCAAACCGACUCAGAAGCAGAAGAAGCCAAAUCGCCGUGCGCGGUGCACACAACCGCCCAGCGGUUACAGGCGAUUCCCCACUUUCGCCCAGACCAACGGGCGGGAGGGGCGGGCAGCCAUGCAGGCGGCAUGCAACCGCGCCAGGUGGACGCGCUUCUCCGACUUCUGACACGCCAGAUUGGAGGCCCAGGCCCACGCGUCGCACAACCAGCGCGCCAGUUGCUGCAUGCAAGCAACCGCACCGCCACUUGUGCCACCGUCGCACCUCUUCGGUUGUGGAGCCUAUGCCGCGACUCGAGGCGACCCAGCGCACGACCCAGCAGCGCCAGCCUGGCGCAUUGGUCAAAGCGGCCGAAAGUGGGCCGGCAGUAAUGGCGUGGCAGGCGGGCGGGCGCAGCAGUCACGUCGUCAGCCAGGCUCACGUCCCAUCCUGGGACUGCAAGAGAGCCUCCUCCCACGGCGUGAAGACGGUGCACCCGUAAUCCGUUCCUCGAACGGCUCGCGCACGCGUAACGGCCGCCCCGCCAACCACUCGCCCCGUCGCAUUAACUCCGCGGCGGGACAGGCGGCGCCUCUGGCAGGAGAAGCGGACGACGCUUCGCCUUCGCCGUAAUGACCGUGUCAAAAAAGGUACGCCACGUCGUUCGAUUUCGUAUCCUUUUCCUUUUUUCCUCUUUCUCUAUCUCUUGCAACAGGGACCGGGAAAGGGGGAUAACCCGAAAAGGAUCCUUCUCUGUGAAGGAACCGGGCUCCGAGCCCCCCCUACUGAUCAGAGGUUCGAAGGCUGGCCCCCGAGGGGUUUCGACAGUCGCCUCAGAUCGCGUGGGCCCGACACCCACUACUGGUCAGGGGUUCGAAGGCCAGCCCCUCGAAGGGCUCCAUGGCCGCCUCAGGCUGCUCGGGAUCCGUGCCCAUUACUGAUCAGGGGUUCGAAGGCUGGCCCCCGAAGGGUUCACAGUCGCCUCAGACGUCGAGCGAGGGAUGACCAGGGGUACGUUCGAUACAUAACCGAGGCUCGGGCUGCGCUCCCGAGGUACCCUAGGACAUUUCCGAGACCAGCGGGAACGAUCUUGUAACGGAAUCCCAUCGGAGGGAGGCAUCGAGCCCUCGGACCCCGUCGCCAGGAGAUCGGGUCCGGCAAAUCACCCGCAGGUACUUUUGGGCGUGCCUCUGGGCCCCUAGCCGACCCCCAACGAACGGGGCACGGACGUCCACUCGGAUUACCCGCUUGCAGCUCACCGGAGACACCAUGUUCGGUGCCCAUCGAGGGUAACAUGGCGCUCUCCCCCCUCCUCCUUGCGGAAAGGCGACGUAGGGGCGUAUGUAAAAAAGCCGAGUCUGUCCCUGAUCGUCCUCUCGCCCUGUGCAGAGGCUCGGGGGCUGCUCUCGCAAACCCGGCUCCGGCCAAACCGUUGACAGCGUCAACAUACCAGCCCGAGAGCUUGGGCCCCGACCGUGCACCCGGGCUACGGCCAGUUCGCAUGAGGGAACGACCAGACCAGCCGAAGCAUUACGCAAGGCAUUAAGACCUCGAAGGAGUGUAACCACUCCUCCGAGGCCUCGGGGGCUACACCCGGCGGGUGCGCUCGCGCGCACCCACCGGAACAAAAUGCAACCGAGAAAGGCUGGUCCCCUUGCAAAAAAGUGCGACGAAAGCCUCCAAGCGAGUGCUAACACUCCCUUCGAGGCUCGGGGGCUACUGUCGGGGACCAUAAUUAGGGGUACCCUCAAGACGCCUAAUUCUCAGCUGGUAACCCCCAUCAGCAUAAAGCUGCAAAGGCCUGAUGGGUAUGAUUAAGUCAGGAAUCAGUCCACACAAGUGACUCGAUCACGCUUCGCCCGAGCCUAGCCUCGGCCAAGGGCAGCCGACCUCGAGAGACUUCCGUCUCGCCCGAGGCCCCCCUUUUUAACGGCGGACACACAUCCGGCUUGCCCGAGGCCCUGGCUUCGCUUAGAAGCAACCCUGACUAAAUCGCCGUGCCGACUGACUAGGUUGCAGGAGCAUUUAACGCAAAGGUGGCCUGACACCUUUAUCCUGACACGCGCCCCCCGGCAGAGCCGAAGUGACCGCCGUCACUCCACCGCUCUACUGACCAGUCUGACAGAAGGACAGCGCCGCCUGUGCCACUCCGACUGCAGUGCCACUCGACAGAGUGAGUCUGACAGGCAGUCAGGCCUUGCCAAAGGCGCCAUAGCGAACUCCGCUCCGCCCGACCCCAGGGCUCGGACUCGGGCUAAGACCCGGAAGACGGCGAACUCCGCUCCGCCCGACCCCAGGGCUCGGACUCGAGCUAAGACCCGGAAGACGGCGAACUCCGCUCCGCCCGACUCAGGGCUCGGACUCGGGCUAAGACCCGGAAGACGGCGAACUCCGCCCCGCCCGACCCUAGGGCUCGGACUCGGGCUCAGCCCCUGAAGACGACGAAACUCUGCCUCGCCCGACCCCAGGGCUCGGACUCCGCCCUGGCUUCGGCCGAACGACCUCCGCCUGGCCCGACCCGAUGGCUCGGACUCGGCCUCGGCAACAGAAGACAGGCCCAACCUCGGCUUCGGAGGAGCCCCCAUGUCGCCCGACCUAGGGCGCAGGCCCGCCACGUCAACAAGGAGCGCCAUCAUCAUCCUACCCCGAGCCGACUCGGGUCACGGAGAACAAGACCGGCGUCCCAUCUAGCCAGCUCCGCCAGAUGGACAAUGAUGGCGCCCCACAAGCUCUGUGACGACGGCGGCUCUUAGCUCUCUUACGGAAGCAGGGCGACGUCAGCAAGGACUCGACCGCUCCAACAGUUGUCCCUCCGCCAGGCUCCGUCGCUCCUCCGACAGCCACGACAUCACGCCAGCAUGGUGCCAAGACCUCUCCGGCUGCCACAUUGGCAUGUACCUAGGGCGCUAGCUCUCUCUCCGCUAGACACGUAGCGCUCUACUACACCCCCAUUGUACACCUGGAUCCUCUCCUUACGACUAUAAAAGGAAGGACCAGGGCCUUCUUAGAGAAGGUUGGCCGCGCGGGGACGAGGACGAGACAUGCGCUCUCUUGGGGCCGCUCGCUUCCCUCACCCGCGUGGACGCUUGUAACCCCCCUACUGCAAGCGCACUCGACCUGGGCGCGGGACGAACACGAAGGCUGCGGGAUCUCCACCUCUCUCACGCCCGUCUCCGGCCACCUCGCCUCUUCCCCCCUUCGCGCUCGCCCACGCGCUCGACCCAUCUGGGCUGGGGCACACAGCACACUCACUCGUUGGCUCGGGGACCCCCCGGUCUCGAAACGCCGACAAUAAUCCUUCUAAAUUCUUCACGAGAUGAUCAGUUAGUAGAACCAAAGAUAAUGUCAUCAACAUAAAUUUGGCAUACAAGUAAAUCAUCAUCAAUCAUCUUUGUGAAAAGAGUAUGGUCCACUUUACCAACCUUAAAUGAAUUAACAAUUAGAAAGUCUCUAAGCAUUCAUACCAUGCUCGGCCAAUAAAAUCUGAAUAGACUGAAGCCUAGCUACGGGUGCAAAGGUUUCAUCAAAAUCCAAACCUUCAACUUAAGAGUACCCCUUAGCUAUAAGUUGGUCUUUGUUUCUUGUCACCAAACCAUGUUCAUCUUGCUUGUUGCGGGAAGACCCACUUAGUUCCUACAACAUUUUGGUUAGAAAGUGGUACUAAAUUCCAAACCUCAUUCCUCUUAAAGUCGUUGAGCUCUUCUUGCAUUGCCAUCACCCAAUCCGGAUCCUUCAAAGCAUCUUUGACCCUGAAAGUCUCAAGAGAAAACACAAAAUAGUAAUCUUUACAAAAAGUUGGAAUUCUAGAAUAAGUGAUUACUCCCUUAUGUAUGUCUCCAAGGAUCAUGUCCACCGGAUGAUCUCUUCAAAUGGUUCGGUGGACUCUUGGGUGAGGCACUUGGCUUCUUGGUGGUUGAACUUCCUCUUCAUCUUCAUUGUCUUGAUUUUCCUCAUCUCUCCAUUGAUUAUUGCCUUCUUAUUGAUUGUCUUGAUCUCCAUCUUGAGUUGGGGUUGAGCUUGAACGUGAGAUGGUUGAUCUUGUUCUUGUUGAGGCUCUUGUGGACACACAUCCCCAAUGGACAUGUUCUUCAAUGCGGUGCAUGGAGCUUCUUCAUCAUCAAGUUCAUCAAUAUUGACUUGCAAUUCUUGAGAGCCAUUCGUCUUAUCAAAACACAACAUCACAAGAAACUUUAACACACCCAGUGGAUUUGUUGAAGACCUAUAUGCCCUUGUGUUUAAAUCACAACUAAGUAAAAAUUGUUCUACGACUUUAGGAGCAAAAAUGGAAUUUAUAUCUCUCUUUACCAAAAUGUAGCAUUUGCUACCAAAGUCUCUAAAAUAUUAAAUAUUGGGUUUGUUACCAGUUAGGAGUUCAUAAGAGGCCUUCUUGAGGAGUCGGUGAGAUACAACCGGUUGAUGGUGUGGCUAGCUAUGUUGACCGCUUCUGCCCAAAACCAAUUUGAAGUCUUGUAUUCUUCAAGCAUAGUUCUUGCCAUAUCGAUCAAAGUUUGUUUCUUCCUUUUCACCACUCCAUUCUGUUGUGGUGAAUAGGGAGAAGAGAACUCAUGCUUGAUCCCUUUCUCCUCAAGAAAUUCUUCUACUUAUGUGUUCUUAAACUAUGUUCCAUUGUCGCUUCUUAUCUUCUUCAUUCUUAAGUUGAACUCAUUUUGAGCUCUUAUCAAAAAUUUCUUCAAGGUACCUUGGGUUUCAUCUUUAUCCCCACAAAAAGAAUAAUCAAGUGAAGCAUGUAUAGUCAUCAACAAUAACAAGACGAUACUUACUCUCGCCGAUGUUUAUAUAAGCAACGAGGCCGAAUAGAUCCAUACGUAGGAGAUCCAAUGGUCUUGAGGUUGUCAUGAUGUUCUUCGAGGGAUGACUUGCUCCAACUUGCUUUUCAGCUUGAUAUGCUCCACAUGGCCUAUCUUUCUCAAAGCAAACAUUGGUUAGUCCUAAAACGUGUUCACCCUUAAUAAGCUUAUUAAGAUUCUUCAUCUUGACAUAGGCUAGUCGAUAGUGUCAUAACCAACCCAUAUUGGUUUUGGAUAUUAAGCAUGCAUCAAGUUCAACUUUAUCAUUCAAAAAAUCUACUAGAUAAAGUUUUCCCUUUAAUACACCCUUAAAAGCAACUGAAUCAUCACUUCUUCUAAAGACCAUAACACCAGCAUCGACAAAUAAGCAAUUAUAGUCAAUUUGACGUAAUUGAGAAACAGAAAGCAAGUUAUAGUCUAGUGAUAUCACCAAGAAUACAUUGGAAAUGGAGUUCUCAGUGGUGAUAACAACUUUACCUAGACCUUUUACCUUUCUUUAACUCCCAUCCCCAAAUGUGAUCAUAUAUUAGGAGUCCUUAUUUUUUAUAAGAUGAGAACAUCUUCUCACCCGUCAUGUGGUUUGUGCAACUGCUAUCAACAACCCAACUUGUGCCUCUAGAUGCAUAAGCCUACAAAACAGAUUUGGGCCUUGUUCUUAGGUACCCAAAUAGGUUUGAGUCCUCUCACAUUAGUAACAAGCGCUUUUGGCACCCAAACACAAGAUUUGGUGUUCUUGUGCCUCGGUCCGACAUAUUUGGCAACAACCUUACCGAUAUUGUGAGUAAGCACAUAAGAAACAUCCAAAGUGUGAUAUGGUAAGCAUGGACCAUUUGAUGCAUUUGUUUAUUUGACAUUAGGCAUAUGAACAAUUUUAUCAUGAGGAACAUUAUGCCUAACAUGAGGUGUUCUAGCAAAUGGAGAAUGUACAAUAUGAGCAUGUGAAGCAUGGACAUUCUUAGCAUGAGCAUGAGAAUGAGAAACCAUAGUAUCAUUACCAACAUGACAAUAGCAUGAAUAGUAUGAACAAUAAGAACAAUGGGUGCUUUGUCCUUUUCCUUCACAAAUUUGGGAACUCUUGCCUACUAACUUUAAUUUUGGUGUUCUCUUUGCCUUCUUUUUGGAAGCCAGCACUGUUGGGGGUAUGCUUCGUAGCCGAAGAUCCUAAAGAAAGAGAACACCUUCGGCAUAUCCUAUCAGGAGCAGCGCCGAAGCUAUCACCUAUAAAGCUUCGACACAAUGAUAGAUCUCAAGACGAAGGGGUGAACCGACUUAAAGAUGAAAUGACUUAAAGACCCAUGAUGUGUUUGUGUCAUUAUUGUAGUCGAUUGUAAAGGGUAUAAAUGUAAUUUUACACAGGCUGCGCCCUGUGCCUAUAAAUAGAUGAACAGUACCUUUGUACUGUUCACACAAUCUUGUAACCACUAGCACAUUACGCUGGAAUUAUUGCUUUCUGCUAAGGCGAAGGUAUAAAUGUACCUAAAUAUUAUGUUUUAAUAUUUAGGUUCAUAUAAUAAAAUAUGUGAAUAAUAUUAUCUAUUUUUUGAUACAUCUUUCUCUAAUGUUUUAUAUUUCAUAUUUCAUUUUGCAUUGUUUUAUAAGUCUGAUCACGAAGGUGUGAUCUUCGUGAUAUUUUGCUCAUGGCUUUUGUCCGAAGUUCAUUAAAUCCUUGGGGAAAUAAUGCUUCAGUGGACGAAGGGCAUUUAUAUUUAACAUUUUAUGUUGCCUUGUUCUUAAUUCAUAGCAUUUGAGAACAAGUCCCCAACAUUGGCGCCCACCUCCGGUGAACUCACUUCCACUUUUUUGAGCUGAUGGCUUCGUUCAACAACCAAGCUGGAGCUGCUUCGGCUCCGAAGCUGGUACUCCCGAUAACAGGCGGUUCAUGCUCAGAGCCGACAAACAAAAAGCAGAAGAAGGAGGCACAGAGAAGGGUACAUCAUGUCGGGGUGCAAGGACCCUUCAUCAAGUCAAGAUGGUCCCACAUCCCAAUUACCUUCUCCCAAGAGGACCUUCAGCUCAAGGAUUACCCUCAUAAUGAUGCUAUGGUUAUUUCUUGUGUUAUCAAAGGAUUUCUGGUCCACAAUGUUCUGGCUGAUACAGGCAGUGCAGCGGAUAUUAUAUUUGCUAAGGCCUUCAGACAGAUGCAAGAGCCAGAGGAUAAGAUUCAUGAUGCUACACACCCUCUUUGUGGCUUUGGUGGAAGGCAAAUUGUAGCGCUUGGCAAGAUCACGAUGCCAGUGACCUUCGGAUUUGUCAACAAUACAAGGACUGAGCAAGUUGUGUUUGAUAUUGUCGACAUGGAAUACCCCUACAAUGCAAUCAUUGGUCGUGGGACACUCAAUGCUUUUGAAGCAAUUCUUCAUCCAGCAUAUCUUUGCAUGAAGAUACCUUCGGAUCAAGGGCCUAUUGCUAUUCAUGGAAGUCAGGAAGCUGCCAGAAAGCCCGAAGGAAACUGGACAGAUUCAAAAGCAAUCCAUAAUAUAGAUGGAGCCGAAGCUUGUGAGCAAUACAAGUACAUAAGGGAGAAGGCUGCUUCGGCUGAUCAGCCGAAGCCCAUGCUCUUAUGUGAAGAUAUAGUAGAGCAGAAGGUGCUGCUGGGAUCUCAAUUGUCUGAGGAGCAAGAGAAACCCCUAAUAAGGUUCCUGUUCAACAACAAAGAUGUCUUUGCAUGGUCAGCUAAUGAUCUAUGUGGUGUCAACAGGGAUGUUAUUGAACACUCGCUCAAUGUUGAUCCAUCCUUCAGACCCAGAAAGCAGAGGCUUCGGAAAAUGUCUGAUGACAAAGCCGAAGGUGCUCGGAAUGAAGUGAAAAGACUUCUCAGCGCUGGAGUCAUCAGAGAAGUAAAAUACCCAGAAUGGCUAGCUAACACUGUUAUGGUGAAGAAGGCCAAUGGUAAAUGGAGAAUGUGUAUUGAUUUUACUGAUCUCAACAAGGCUUGUCCAAAGGAUGAAUUUCCAUUACCAAGGAUAGAUUCUCUAGUAGAUGCAGCAGCUUCGUCAGAGCUCAUGAGUCUACUAGAUUGUUAUUCAGGCUAUCAUCAAAUCUGGAUGAAGAAGGAAGAUGAGCCAAAAACUAGCUUUAUCACCCCCAGUGGUACAUAUUGUUACCUUCGGAUGCCUGAGGGGCUUAAGAAUGUUGGAGGAAGCUUCAGCAGAAUGACAGCAAAAGUCCUUCAUUCUCAGAUAGGCAGAAAUGUGUUAACAUAUGUUGAUGAUAUCAUAGUAAAAAGCACGAAGCAAGAAAAUCACAUUGCUGAUCUACAGGAAACAUUUGCUAACUUUAGGCAAGCUGGCCUAAAGUUGAAUCCAGAAAAAUGUGUCUUCGGAGUAAAGAAGGGCAAAUUCCUUGGUUGUAUAGUUUCAACAAAAGGGAUCGAAGCUAAUCCAAACAAAAUUGAAACCAUUCUUCGGAUGGAGCCGCCAAGCACAAAAAAGGGGGCUCAGCGGCUGAUAGGAAGAUUGGCAUCUUUGAAUCGAUUUAUAUCUAGAUCAGCAGAGAGAAAUUUACCAUUCUUUGAAGUGCUGAAAUCGGCCGAAGUCUUUCAAUGGGGAUCAGCUCAGCAGAAAGCCUUCGAAGAGCUGAAGCAGUAUCUAAUAGAUCUAACGACGCUAACUCCACCAGCGCCAGGGGCUCCUCUACUGCUGUAUGUGGCAGCUUCGCACUCUGCAGUGAGUGCGGCGCUUGUCCUGGAGAAGCUUGAAGGACAAACUUAAAAGCAUGCCCCAGUGUACUUUGUCUCCGAAGUUCUCAGUUUAUCAAAGAAAAACUAUACAGAAUUGGAGAAGGUGCUAUAUGCUGUCUUAAUGGCCUCCAGGAAGCUUCGACACUACUUUCAAGCAUACCAUAUAAUUGUUCCUUCAUCACAGCCUUUGAAGGAUAUUAUGAGGAACAGAGAAGCUACUGGAAGGAUUGGAAAGUGGGCUGCGGAACUCAACGAAUUCAGUAUUGAUUAUGUGCAUAGAUCCUCAAUUCAGUCCCAGGCGUUAGCAGACUUCAUCGCUGAUUGGACGCCAGGGGCUCAGGAGGAAGAAGCAAGUAAAGAUGCUGAAGCUUGGACAGUGUUCUGCGACGGUUCCUGGGGAACCUUCGGGGCAGGUGCAGCUGCUGUUUUAGUUGCACCUUCCAAAGUUAGAACAUGCUAUGCAGUGAAACUUGAUUUCAGCUGCACAAAUAAUAUUGCUGAAUACGAAGCUUUGCUUUUGGGGCUUCGGAAGUUGAAGGCAAUGGGGAUAAGAAGGGUGGUUCUCAAAACUGAUUCCCAAGUUAUUUCUGGUCAUGUUGACAAGAGUUGUAAAGCAAGAGAUCCGAAGCUUGAGAAAUAUUUGGAUACAGUUCGAAGGCUUGAAGCUUCUUUCGAAGGGUUUUCUGUCAAGAAUAUUCCACGAGGAGAAAAUGAGCACGCUGAUCUGCUAGCCAAGUCAGCGGCACAGGGGCUGCCUUUGCCUUCGGAAGUAUUCUUUGAGACAAGAAAAGCACCUUCGGUGGAAUUUCUUGAAAGAGCAGUGCUCAAUAUAUCUCCUGUUCAUAGUGAAGAUUGGAGAACCGAGAUUAUAUCUUUUCUCCAGGGCAACUGCCUUUCAGAUGACGAAGCUUAUAACAAGAGAAUAGAGGCAAGAGCCCGACCAUAUGUAAUAAUAGAGGGGGAGUUAUACAAACAUGGAGUCUGUUCUCCAUUGCUCAAAUGCCUAUCCAGAGCUGAAGGUAUAGAAUUGAUGAAGGAAAUACACGCAGGCAUGUGUGGAUCCCACAUCGGAUCUAGGCCCUUGCUGAGAAAAGUUUUUUGUCAAGGAUUUUAUUGGCCGAAGGCAGCUUCGGAUGCAGCAGAAUUAGUGCAAAAAUGCGAAGGCUGUCAAAAAUGUGCAAGAGAUCAAAAACAGCCUUCAUCUCUGACUCAGUUAAUACAGCCCAUUUGGCCGUUGCAAAGGUGGGGCCUUGAUUUGCUAGGCCCACUUCCACCAGCACAUGGAAAUUUAAAAUAUGUCGUGGUGGUAGUAGAGUAUUUUUCUAAGUGGAUUGAGGCGAAGCCUUUAGCUACAAUAACUUCGGUCACCGUUCAAAAAAAUUUCUGGCAAAAUAUUGUUUGUCGCUUCGGAGUGCCGAAGGCUAUUACUGUGGACAAUGGAACACAGUUUGAUGCCGAAGCUUUCAAAGAGUUUUGUGAACAAAUUGGCACGAAGAUUCAUUUUGCAUCGGUUAGACAUCCGGAGUCAAAUGGACUUGUCGAAAGAGCUAAUGGCAUUAUAAUGACAGGAAUAAUAAAGUUAAUCUUCAAUCAGCCCAGGGGAAAGUGGCCAGAUGAAUUAAUCAAAGUGGUAUGGAGCCACAACACAACAAUGUCAAGGUCAACAGGCUUUACACCAUUCAAAUUGUUGUUUGGCGACGAAGCAAUAACCCCAGAAGAAGCUAAAGCUGGAUCAAUAAGAACAGUGGCUUUGACGGAGGACGAAGCUGAUUAUUCUAUGAAAAAAGAUGCUAUAGGAGGGAUCAGGCUUCAGGUUGUGGAGAAUAUCAAUAAAUAUCAAGCCGAAACAAUAAAAUGGCGUGACAGAAAAGUUCGGUUAAAAAAUAUCAAGCCAGGGCACUUGGUACUUCGGAGAGUUGCUAACCCAGAUACAGUAGGCAAGCUACAGUUCAAGUGGGAAGGACCUUUUCUGGUAGUAUCUUCGUCAAGACCCGGUUCUUACAGAUUGAAGGAUAUGGAUGACAACAACAUUCCUAGAUCUUGGAAUGCGGAUGAGCUUCGGCGAUAUUAUGUGUAGCUUGAUGUAAUCUUUUUUAUUUUUUCCUAUGGCACCCUUUUCCUUUCCAAAGGGGGAGAAAGGUUUUUAAUGGGGCCAUAGCAUGUAAUCUCUCUUUUUCUUAUUUCAGCUCUACAAGAGCAAUAUCCCCCAAAGAUGUAAAUGUAAAAGCUGAGCAUGCACCAUCGAGUGCAAAGAGAAAAGGAAAAAGAAGGGAGAAGCUCGAAAGACGUCCCUAAGGGGAUGCAGAGCACGACGAAGCUACAAAAAGCCAUUUCUAAGGGAGCGCAACGUAAGUUUUCUGCUCAAACGUCGUUCCUAAGGGAAUGCAGAGCUUACAACGAAAAGUCAACGCUGAUUCCGCCAAAAUAUAAGGCGAAGCGCGAAAAGUCAACGUGAUACCGCCGAAAUAGAAGGCGAAGAAGUUCAAAAGACAUUCCUAAGGGAAUGCAGAACUUACAGCGAAAAGUCAACGCUGAUACACCGAAAAAUAAGCGGUGAAGCCAAAAAAUAAACGGCAAAGAUACUUUGAUUAUUCCUAAUGGGAUGAAGGUUUUGGUUGUGGCUUCGUAUAUGUGUGUUUUGACAUUCAUUUGCACGGUACAUUUCAUCAUACAUUUGCAUUCAUAAACAUUCAUUUAGACAUAUAUAGGAUCAUCAUCAUCAUAACAUAGACAGUUGCUUCGGCUCUAAGGACAAGGCUUCGGAAAAAAGAAAAAAGAAGCAGUUUUAUGCUUCGCUGUGUACGAAAAGAAGGGAAGGUGUUUUUCGCCUUCGGCUCAAAAAUGCUAAUUUCGUUCACACCAAAGCAUUUUCUACAUUGAUGGAAAGGUAAGAAUAUAUUACAAGGUAUGGACAAAGUCCACAAAGUAAAAUUUAAUUACAUCAUUCUUUACAUAAGUUAUUACAAGAGUUUUUAGAGUUUUCUACAGACAUCUAUUUAAGCUUCAUCAAUAUCCAAGGAGCUUCGGCUUCGUCAUCCGUUAAGCUUUGGCUUCGUCUCCUUACUCCUCAGCUUCGGCCUCGGCUUCGUCAUCCUGUGUGAAUCAAAGUAUGGUAAGAAAAAUUUAAGCUUGAAGGAAGAAGUAGGCACAAGGUAUGAUUUUGUUACCGGCUUAAUAUGACUUCGAGCUUCAUCACCAGCUUUGCUUCGUCCACCCUUUGUCCAUACCAAUUUUAUAAAUCUAUUUGCUAUACUUCGGGCAAGGCUGGGAAUGUUAUUCAAAUCUGCUGGUGAUAAGCUAAAAUUGGGUCUAUUGAUAACCUUUCCGUGUUCGCAGUCAGACUUCAGAAAGGCAACAGCUGUGCCCCGAGAAGCUACCAGGGCACAAAAGUCACCAUGUCCAGCUAUAACUUCGUCAAGGUCAUCAAUUUCACCUUCGAUAUGUUUGAAGGCCCCUGGUAGGUCUUCAGACGAAGGAUUAAAUUUUUCGCUGCUGGCUCCAACCGAAUAGAAGACCUGUUUUAGCCGUUGAACACAUCGAUUACUGAAUUCCAAACAUUUAUCUUGAAGGCUUGCCAAUGAUUUUUUCAAAUCUAAAUUUUUCUGGACUUCGGCCUCAAAUUUUGCAUUAAGCUCUUGCUUUUCUUGUUCAAAGUGUUCUGAUUGGCAGAGAAGCUUCGUAUUCAAUUCUGCUAUUUUAGCUUCAGCUUCUGCCAAUAAGCCUUCGGUUGUCUGAAGCUCGAAGUCUUUCUUUUCAAUAGCAGUUGAUUGCUCUUUUAUUUUGCUCUCUAAAUUCUCAAUUAUAACCUCGUGUUUUUUAUCUUCCAAAUCCUGCUGCAUUUUCAAAGCUUUGCUCAGCAGCAUACUCUGCACAUAAACAACCUUCGUUAGAAAACAUCUUCGUUAUUAAAAACAAUAAAAGUCAGAGAAGAGUCUGUUUACCUUAAAAUUGGAAUAAAAUAAACUACCGACGAUGUGCUGUCGUCGGUAGCGGUUGAUAUCUGUUUUGAGCUUCGGGAAACCGAUACUCUUUGAUAGAGUACUGAUAACCUUUGCACCGGUCUGAUCCCGGACGCAGCCCAACCUUUCGUCAUCAAUGCCACCGAAGAGAAGUGCUCCCAGCCGGUAUUCGCAAGAUAUAGCAUAUUCUUUUAGUUCUUCUUUUUCAGCCUUUGUCAGUUCUUGACCAACUAAGUUUUGAAAGUUAAAAACUUCAUCUUCCGAAGUGUCUUCAGCUAUUUCUUUCUCCUUCUCGGGCUCUGGGGCCGUAGUCUCUUCGGUGGCUGCGGCAGCUUCUUCUGCGGCCAUGUCUAGCAGUAUUUUAUCUAUAUCAGCAAUCAUGCUUUCUAAAUGAAUAUCUUUGGCUCUGGUAGCUUUGGCAUUUGUGGCUUCCGAAGGUGCAGCUUCAGUAGCUGUCGUGCUUUCAACAGCCGGCGCCUUCGGAGCUGAAGCUCCUGGUGGUGUCCCUUCGAUGACUUCUGUCACUGUAAUGAUUCUUUGCUUUUUUGGCCUAGCUGCCUUCUUCGUUUUCACGGGCUCCUUUUCCUUCUAAAAAAGCUUCGUCAGUUGUGGCCCGAGUGGACUUAGCUUGACAGGCAAAGAUUCAGUCAUUACCUUUAAGAUUUCCCCUACUUCGGUAGCAGAGGGUGUUGCAGCAGAUUCUUCUUCCUCAUCAAUUGCUUUCUGCUUCGGAGCUGUAGCUUUUCUCUUCUUCGAAACACCUGUUUUCGGCUCAGGCUCUAACUUUUUCUUCUUUGGUUGUUCUUCAUCGUCUUUAUUCAGAGCACCAGCUACUCUUUUCCUCUUUUGACCUUCGACAUCCUUGUCUAGCUGCUCAUAAUCAGGGUACUCAAAAUCCAGAGCAUCCAUUACUCGGUUUAACCUUUGCUUCGGACGGGUGCCGAAGGCCGCAGUCAUCAAUUGAUCUUCUUUUUUAGAAUAAUUACCGAGUAUUUCAUUCCACAUUACUUCAUUUGUGUCCAGCCACUCUUGGCAAGGCAUUUUGAAAUGUUUCUUGAAUUUGUAAUGGUAAGGCAAUCGAACAAAUUCCCCCUUCUUCUUUCCCCCUUCAGCUUCGGCAUUUCCCACUCCUUCAAAGUUGGGAACACUCUGAAGGCCAAAAAUUCUUGCACUAAGUCCCUAGUGCCGAUAUGAUCUGCUAUAACUCGAAAUUCAGCCAGGGCGAUUUGGCUUGGACUCCCUGGUGUCAUGUCGCACCGGGGUCUGGUCUCUCCGAAGAUCAAUUCCAACGGACUCUGGACUAGCUUCUCCUUCUCUUCAUCAACUUUAACGUAGAACCACUUAGAUUUCCAGCCAGCUGGCCACUUGCUUCGGUAGCUAAUCACUGGAAAUUUUGUAGUCUUGCGAUAGGCAAAGUUAUAGCAGCCAAACUUUUCAUGUAGCCCAUCUCCUCUAGCUUUCGUCUGGUAAUGGAGCUCGUGCACUCGGCAGAAGCCUUCACCAAAUGGUUCUACCCCUUGGCUUUGGAGAGCCCAGAUAUAAACACUAAGCCUAACGAUAGCGUUAGGAGUUAGCUGAUGUAGGUAGAUCCCAAACUUCUUCAGCACAUCAACAAUCAUCUUGUUCAAAGGAAAUCUUAAACCCGCUUUAAAGAAGCUUUUAAAGACCACUACUUCAUCCUUUCCUGGCUUCGGAGUAGUCUCUUCCCCACCAAAACGAACCAGCUCUUUCUUCGCUUCAUUAAAAUAGCCCAAAUUCAACAGCUUAGGCAAAUCAUCUUCGGAGAUGGUGGAUUUCCCGAAGUCCAGAUGGCUGGGUUUACUUGGCACUGCGCUAUAAUCAUCUUCAGACUCAGUCUCCUCAACAUCAGCUUGCUCUGUUUCAGUGGCAGGUGCUUCCUCUGAGGCUACCAUCCCUGAGCGCUUCAUUACUUCGGAGAUUGGGGCAGUCUCUGUACCUUCAGCCUCCUCUCCGUCGCGUGUAACCCUAGCUGUGGAACGCACUCUAGCCAUAUGAUGAUUGAAUUUUUUGUUUUUUGAAUGAAGUUGAAAAUUUUUCUUUACUUUGCCGAAGCUCUUUCUUGUUAUGAAGCUUGAGCAAAGUAAAUAGCUUUGGUUGAGGAUGCAGCAAACAAGCUUCGGCUUUGGUCAAUAUUUUGGCAGCAAAACAGUGCAAUAGCAAUGAAUGUUGUGGUAACUUCACACCUACCCGUCUGUUUAUAUAGUGCCGUAGGUGGGAAGGUGAAUCGUCAAGGUCUUCUGCACCGAACAAACAGUCACCCGCACUCACUGAACGGUGGGCCACAGGGUUCGAGAAGGUGAAUCGCCAGGGCGCGCGUAACUGCUGCAAGAUGGGGCCACCUCGCGCGUGGAUUAUUUUAAUCGUUUCUCGCCAACGAGCUCAGGGAAGGUGUUUUUCGGAUCUUCGGCAUCCCGAAGCCUAGAAGACUUUUUCACGGAUCAAGCUCGUUACGAAAAACGAUCUAGCACCGCGAAGGGGCUACUGUUGGGGGUAUGCUUCGUAGCCGAAGAUCCUAAAGAAAGAGAACACCUUCGGCAGAUCCUAUCAGGAGCAGCGCCGAAGCUAUCACCUAUAAAGCUUCGGCACAAUGACAGAUCUCAAGACGAAGGGGUGAACCGACUUAAAGAUGAAAUGACUUAAAGACCCAUGAUGUUUUGUGUCAUUGUUGUAGUCGAUCGUAAAGGGUAUAAAUGUAAUUUUUACACAGGUUGCGCCCUGUGCCUAUAAAUAGAUGAACAAUAUCCAUGUACUGUUCACGCAAUCUUGUAACCACCGGCACAUUACGCUGGAAUUAUUGCUUUCUGCCAAGGCGAAGGUAUAAAUGUACCUAAAUAUUAUGUUUUAAUAUUUAGGUUCAUAUAAUAAAAUAUGUGAAUAAUAUUAUCUGUUUUUUGAUACAUCUUUCUCUAAUGUUUUAUAUUUCAUAUUUCAUUGUUUUAUAAGUCUGAUCACGAAGGUGUGAUCUUCGUGAUAUUUUGCUCAUGGCCUUCGUCCGAAGUUCAUUAAAUCCUUGGGGAAAUAAUGCUUCAGCGGACGAAGGGCAUUUAUAUUUAACAUUUUAUGUUGCCUUGUUCUUAAUUCAUAGCAUUUAAGAACAAGUCCCCGAAAAGCACCAUCUUUAAUCUCGAUGGUGUCUCCCACUCUACAAGAGACUCUGAGCAAAUUUAAAUAUCUCAUUUGCUAGUUCAUAGUUUCCAAUUUUAGCUUCCAACUUAAUAAGGGUUUCAUUUAAGCUCUUAAUCAUUGCAAUAUUGGCAACAUGGGCAUCAACAUCAAUAUCUUUGUAUCUAGUACAAACAGGAACAUGCUCAAUAGAAGAUGUGGAUGCAUGACAACCACUCAAUUUCUCAAUCUUAGCAUAAAGAUCAUCAUUUGCACAUUUGAGACUAGAAAUUGAAUCAUUGGAAACAUUUAGCUCACUGGUCAAAAUUUUAUUCUUUCUUUCUUAUGAGCUAGGGCCUUUUCAAGUUUCUCAUUUUUAUUUUUAUCAUCAAUGUGUAGAUCCUCUUGCUUCUCUAGGUGUUCAUCGUUCUCAUUGACGCCCUUGAUCAAUUCAUUCACUUUAGCAAUUUGAUCUCUACCAAGGCCUUUGAAAAACAUAUUCAUAUCUUCCUCAUCACUAGAAUCAUCAUCAUCACUAGAGAUAGUAUAUUUAGGAAGGUUCUUUUUGUAUACCUUCUUCUUACUCUAUUUUGCCAUGAGGCACGUGUGGUUGACCUUAGGGAAGACAGAGGUCUUGUUGAAGGCAAGGGUGGUGAGGCCUUCAUCGUUGGAGUUGGAGGAGCUCUGAUCUGAAUCCCACUCCUUGACAAUAUGGGCUUCGCCUCCCUUCUUGUUGUUGAAGAAUUUUUCUUCUCAAAUUUCUUCUUCCCCUUCUCCUCUUCCUUGUCAUCAUUAUCCGUUGCAUAUGGGCAAUUAGCAAUCAAAUGACUGAUCUUACCACAUUUGAAGCAUGCCCUCUUGCCGUGCGCUUGUAGUCUUUGUCUAAUCGAUUCAUUAGUAUUUGUCGGAAGCUCUUGAUGAUGAGGGUUGUCUCCUCAUCAUCAAGCCUAGAAACAUCGAUGGUUUGUCCUUACUUGGGCCUAGCCUCCUCCUUCUCAUUUAUUGCUGUUGGGGACUUGUUCUCAAAUGUUAUGAAUUAAGAACAAGGCAACACAGAAAGAAGUUAAUGGUUAAUGCCCUUCGUCCUUCGAAGCAUUAUUUCCCUUAGGAUAUAACGAUCUUCGGACGAAGGUCAUGAAGGACAUACCUUCAUCAUCACAGUUUAUAUUGAUGAAAGGAGAAGCAUAUGAAACAUAAAUAACAUGAAUAAUCAUAUAACAUUAUUUAUAUGUCCUUAUUAUAUAAUCAUGGAUGAAUAAGAACAACAUUGAAUUACAUUUAUACCUUCGGCUUGACAGAAGGCAAAAGUACAAGCAUGACGCACGAGCGAGUACAAGUCAGCGUGAACAGUACGGGGUACUGUUCAUCUAUUUAUAGGCACAGGGUGCAGCCUGUGUGAAAUUACAUUCAUGCCCUUCAUGUUUACUAUUGACUUAAUAACAAUCUAUCGAGGACUAGAUAGCCUUUUUCUCCUUAAGUUGGUUCCUUUUUCCACUGCUGAGCCGAAGCUCCCUUGCGCGCAGCUUCGGCGCUGGUUCAACCUUCGUUCCGACCAUGCUUUCCCUAUUGUGUACAGCUUCAUCCCGAGUCCGAAGGUUCCUGUACAUAUAUUAUGCUUGGGAAACAUUGUUAAUCAUGUUAUUGAGGACCUUCAGAAGACGAAGGCCCCCAACAGUAGCCCCUCGUAGUAUUAAUUUGUUAUAACAAUGAAUUCAGACUGCAACGUAAAUGAAGGGCUUAAGCAGAAGGUCCGAAAAAAUACCUUCCCUUUGCUAGAAUAGCAACAAUCAACGACAGCUGGGGCCCUCCAAGUUGCAGCGUGCUAGGCGUAUAAAUAUGAACUCACACCGGCAAUAUUUGAUACGCUGUCUCUGCCAUUUGCAUUAUUUUCUCAAAAUUUUAGCUCUUGCUCACUAGUGCUCGCUAGAUUUUCAAGCUUUUUGAGCUUCGAUUAAAAGAUGUGUUUUUACCAUGUCCGGGGAAAAAUGACUGAGAAGGUGAAGCUGACUGAGGAGACGAAGUUGUUUGAGGAGAAGAAGGUUGCGGAUCCUUAUAUUGCCGAACUUAUUGAGUCCAUGGCAAAAACAAAUACAGAGAAGAUUACUAAAGAGAUACUGGAAGGUUUAUCUGAAGAUAUUGUGAUAGCGAUAGCUAUGAUGUGGAAAGUGGGGAUAAAGAUUCUGAAGAUCGGCCCUACCGGCCAAGCCAUGCUGUCUUCGGAAAGUCGACCAUUAAACAGGGUCAUCUUGAGAACAUGAGAGGAAGGUACUUUCGAGACAUGUCUAUCGUGAGGGCUGGCGGAGACAACAACGUCCCUGCUCUUGAGGAAAACGAAGUUGUUAUAUACCGAAGUUUUUUAAAGCUGGACUUCGAUUUCCUUUGAGCAAGUUUGUAGUUGAAGUGCUGAAGAUCUACCAGAUCUUCCUUCAUCAGAUCACCCCCGAAGCUAUAAUGAGGAUGGGCAUUUUUGUCUGGGUUGUAAGGAGUCAGGGGCUAGAGCCAAGCGCGAAGUACUUCUGCAAUAUGCACGAGCUCUUAUAUGAGACGAAGGCUACUGGCAAAGAACAGUAUCACAACAACUUCGGUUGUUAUGGAUUUAUUGCUCGCCCCAACGCAAGCCACCCGGUGCCAACAUUUCGGAAGAGAUGGCCCGGAGCCUGGAUGGAAGAGUGGUUUUAUGUGAAGAAUGAUGUAAAAGCAAGGGAAGACAUUAAAGAAAUCAUCCAACGCCCCAUCUGGUCCCGCUUCGGCCUCCGAAGGCCGAAAGUGGAAAUUGAUGACGCUGUUGAAGCGUGUCAGAGGGCUUUCAGCACUGUUUGCUCCUUCAUUGGCACAAGAGAUUUGAUUCAAGAACAUAUAGCCUUCAGGGUAUGGCCGCUUGUGGAAAGCUAGGAAAUACCGAAGGAGACCACUGCCGACUCUGGUGAGGGUGGUCUGGUCCGACUAAAGUAUACCUUCAAAUUUAGGGAGAAGUUUGAUGAGCCAAACGAUGACUGGUUGAAGUGCAUCGAAGCUACCAGUGAUGAGCUGCUUGGAGCAUACUCCAAGGCUGACGAUAAUGCCAUGUCCGCAGCCUUUGGUGAUCGGGGCAAGAAAAGAUUAAACAGGGUAUUUGAUGCUAUUGGCUUCGUAUACCCUGAUUACCGCUAGGACUGGGCAUAAAACCCGAUACCCGAAUCCCGAACCCGAAAAACCCGAACCCGAACCCGAAAUACCCGAACACGAAAACCCCGAAAUCUAAUUUGGGUAUAACCUCCCGGUACCCGAAAUUUUAUAGAGAAUUUCGGGUUCAAUUACCCGGUACCCGAAUAGGAAACUAGUACCCCGAAUACAACACAAGGAACAAGGCCCAAUGGGCAAUGGCCCAUUACGGACAAGCAAAAGCAAGGCGCAUGCAAUCAGUCCAGACUCCAGAGGCCUCUCAGCUCCAGCGGUCCAGGGCGAGUAGCUAGGCGACCUCCGACCUGUCCAUCCAAUCCAACCCUAGCUAGCAGCAGCCGCCGCCGUCGAGCAAGGAGCACCAGUCCACGGUCCGCCACCACGCCACCGCGCCGUCCUACCACUGCCGACCAUCCAGCACCGAGCCGCGUACGGCAACGCCCAGCUGACCGCCGUGCCGACCGCGUGACUAUCAGGCGCGGAGGCGCCCAGGCUGAUUUGCGCGAGCCUAGCACGGUGCCACGGUGCACGCCCGACCUGCGCUCGACUGCCCGGUGCCGAGCUCGUGGUGUAGUGAAGCCAACAUUGAAGAACGGCACCAACAUCGGAGGAAUCUUGCAACGUAUGUGCUAACUGCUAAGUGCUCAAUUCUUGGUUUUUUUGUUAUAACAGAUUUGAUCUAGCAUAUUUUUGUUUUAGUAAAUUUGUUCUAGCAUAUUUGAUCAGUAGAAAUAGUAGUUCUUAAUAAUUUAAUAUGAUUUGAUCUAGCAGAUUUUUGUUCUAAGUCUAACACAUUUGUUCUAGCAGAUUUGAUCAGUAGAAAUAGUAGUUCUUAAUAUGAUUUGAUCUAGCAGAUUUUUGUUCUAACACAUUUGCUCUAGCAGAUUUGAUCAGUAGAAAUAGUAGUUCUUAAUAUGAUUUGAUCUAGCAGAUUUUUGUUCUAACACAUUUGUUCUAGCAGAUUUGAUCAGUAGAAAUAUUAUUUCUUUAAUUCCUUACUAUGUGUUUCCUUUUUAAUAGAUGCCUGAACCUGAAGACAUAUUGGACAAGGGCAUGGAAUCAGUGGGCACUGGCACUCUAGACAAUGAUGGGACACAAACACAACCAUCACAAUCACAAGGGGCUGCUGAUCAAGAGGUGGUUGACCUUGACAAGGAUUGUGCACAACAUGAAAGGAAGAAGAUGGCACCAAGAUCAGAUGUGUGGAACCAUUUUAGCAAGAUCAAAGAUGAUAAAGGCAUUAUGAUAGCUGCAAAAUGCAAGUAUUGCCAUCGCAACAUGAAAGCAGACUCCAAGGGACAUGGAACAUCUGCCUUGAAGAGACACCUUCAAAGUUACAAGCACAAUCCUAACAAGUUUGAAAAAGAUGGAAAGCAAGGAUAUUUACAAGCAAUACAAGGGGAAGGUGUUUCUACUUGGAAGUUUGAUCAAGAUGCGCUUAGGGAGGCCUUCGCUGAGAUGAUUAUUGAAGAUGAGCUGCCUUUUGCUUUUGGUGAAAAGCCUGGCUUCAAGAAAUUCAUGUCUAAAGCUUGCCCACGUUUCCAAGCACCAUCUAGAAGAACAUGCACUAGUGACAUAGUGUCCCAAUUCUUUCGAGAGAAAGCCAAAGUAAAGUCUUUUUUUAGAGACUCAUGUCAAAGAGUUUGCUUGACCACAGAUUGUUGGACUGCCCAACAACAAGAUGGUUAUAUGGCAGUGACUGCAACUUUUAUAUAUGAGAAUUGGAAUUUGCAUAAGAAAAUCAUUGGAUUUUUUAAGGUUAAGGGACACAAGGGAGAAGAUAUUGGAAAAAGUUUGUUGAAAUGCCUGACUGAAUGGGGAUUGGAGAGAGUGAUGACAAUAACAGUUGAUAAUGCAUCAGCCAAUGAUACCGGUAUUGCUUAUUUGAGGAGGCACCUAGGAAGAACCCACGUAGCAAAAGGCAACUUUUUGCACAUGAGGUGUGCUGCCCAUAUUAUUAACCUUAUUGUGCGAGAUGGUUUGAAAGAAGUGGAUAUCUUAGUGAAGCGUGUUAGAGGUGCUAUUAGAUAUAUCAAAGAUGGGACUUCAAGAUUGGUUAAGUUCAAAGAAAUUGCUGAGGAAGAGGGGUUGAACACAAAGGCAUUUCUAAAGCUUGAUGUCCCAACUAGAUGGAACUACACCUAUCUCAUGCUUAAAGCUGCAAUUGCAUAUGAAAAGGUAUUCUUAAGGUUGAUUGACGAGGACAAUAACUAUUGUAUAGACCUUUCUGAAGAAAGGAAGGGUAAUGGUUAUCCUGAUGAAGGUGAUUGGGAGAAUGCAAAGAAGAUGGCAGAGUUUCUUGAGCAUUUCCAUGACCUUACGGUACGUGUUUCAUCUAGUCUACAUGUGACUAGCAAUAGUUUCUUUCAUGAGAUUGGUGAAGUCCACUUGCUUAUUAAGUCUUGGAUGAGUAGUCAAGACAAUCUCCAAGUAUCAAUGGGCAUGAUAAUGAAGGAAAAAUUUGACAAGUAUUGGGGGGUUUGGCACACAAACAAUAAGGAGAAUGAGUAUGUGCAAGAGAUGGAGUUGGAGAAGGAGAGGGGAAAGGCGAGGGAAAGGGAAAGGAGAAGGAUAAAGAGAACAUUAAUCUACUCAUUUUUGUUGCAGCUUUUCUUGAUCCAAGAUACAAAUUAUCUAUGUAUACGAAGAUUAUUGUUGAGGAGAUAUUUGGUGAGGACAGGGGCCAGUUAGUUUGGGCAGCUAUUAACUCUUGUGUCCGUGAGCUGUUUGAAGAAUACAAAAAUAUUUAUGCUCCAACUGAAGUAACAACUGAAGUAACUGAUCCUAGUGAAGCAAAGGGUGGUAGAGGAGGCAAACUUAGAGAAGUAAUUGCCAAGAGGAUGAAGAUGACCAACUAUUCUAGUAGCACAAUGAAGUCAGAACUUGAAAAGUAUCUAACUGAAGAGACUGAAGACACUGAUACAAAGAUUGACAUACUUUUUUGGUGGAAGGUAAAUGCACAUAGGUUUCCUAUUUUAGCUCACAUGUCCCAUGAUGUGCUUGCUAUUCCUAUCUCAAUAGUGGCUGCAGAGUCUGCUUUUAGCACGAGUGGACGUAUCUUAGAUGACUUUCGUACAUCGCUAACUCCUUUCAUGCUGGAGGCACUUGUAUGUACCCAAGACUGGUUGAGAAGGACUACUCCAAUCAACAUCCAAGAGAAUAUGGAGGAAUUAGCCAUGAUUGAAGCAGGUAUAGUCAAUAUUCACCAUUGUAGUGUAAUUCAUGUAAUUGUUAUAUUAAGUUAUUAACUACAUCUUUGACUAGUUGAAUUCAUUUUAUAAUAGAUUUAAUUGAAUAAUUUGGUGGGAAAGGAAAAGGGAAAGAAAAUCCUACCACUUCCAAGUCUCAAUCAACGCCAAGCAGCAGUAGAUGUCCUCCCUCUAAAUCUGAUGAAAGACCUGCUACUUAAGGUUUGAAAGCACUUAUGUUUUACUUUAUCAUUAAUUUCUUUGUGUGCUACUGCUUACUUCUAUGAGCAAAAUGGUUGACCUGUAGCCUUUCAUACAUUGGUCAUGCAAUGGAGGAUUGGAGUCUAGAGGUUGCAGCUUACAAGUUACAAGAUCACAAAAAGCCUAGAGGUUGCAGCUUACCAGUCCACGGUCAGCAAAGAGUUGUGUGAGGCUGUGAGCUGUGUGUAAUAACUUGACAGUUGAGAACUUGAGACUGUAUGUUUGUAUGUGUGAUUUGCCUGUAGCUGUCUGUCUCACUGUCUGUAGCAUUUUAUUGCCUGUAGGCUGUAGCUGUGGACCUGUGGUUUUUUAUUGCUGCUGUUGUGCUGUCUGUAGCUGUGUUAAAUGGAUUUAUUGCCUGGAAAGACAUGUUAUUGCUAUCGUUUCUUUCCCGUGUAGGCGUGUCGCAUGUCUGCAUUUUAUUGCUGUCUAUAGCUGUCCAGAUUUAUUGGCUGAAAGUACAUUUUAUUGUUGUCUACAAUUUCGGGUACCCAAUUUUUAUUGCCUGUUAAACCGGCAGAUUUAUUGCCUGUACAUUUUAUUGCCUGUUAAAUCGGGUAACUGUAAAUUACCCGAACCCGAUUUUUUGAGUACCCGAAUUUUCGGGUACCUGACAAAAUCGGGUCGAGUUCGGGUUCGACUGUUCAAUACCCGAAUUUUUUAAAACCCGAAAAACCCGACCCGAAUUUUUGGGUAUACCCGAAUGCCCAGUCCUAAUUACUGCUACCUGCUGCGAGGACAAGAGAAAAAGAGGAAGAUUGCUGCUUCGGUCACCCCAGCUGAGCCUGUGCCGAAGAGCAAAAAGGUGAAGGUUCUGACCCACCGGUCGCGUUACAUUGAACCAGCUGUGGUGCCUGAAUUUGGCGCAAGGUCCACUUCAGCAGCCAAAGCAACACAGACUGCUUCGAUUACACAGAGCGCCGAAGAGCCGAUCGUAAUGUCGAAGACGCAUACAGUCAAGGCACUCGAAGAUAAGGUUGAUAAGGCCGAAGAGCCAUAGGUUAAAGAAAUAAUAAGGAUGCCAAAAAUUCUGAGCCCUCCGACGAAGGCAAAUCUGCCGAAGAUGCAAAAGGAUUUUGCCGCAACUCCCAAGAGGAGAAGGAUGGCCAACGUAUUGGAUGUUGUGCUGGAGACUACAAAGGCGUUGAGCCUUGCUCCUGCAAAGAAAAUUGCUCAAACUGAAGCCAAAUCACAGGCUGAAGCCGAAACCAGGCAAGCAGAAGCCGAAGCUACGCAACCUCAAGCUGAAGUCGAAACUGGGCCUUCAGUGCUCAUCGAGACAAAGCCUGUCGCGCCUGAAGAAAAAGCGGCAGAGCAAAUUGCUCCUGAAAAGAUCGAGACUCUUGCUCCCGAAGCUUUGAUUGAAAAUAUUGACUACAUCAUUCGACACGCUUCGGGGAAGAAGUUGUCCAAAGAAGAAAUUCUGGAAGCUAGGCACUAUGCGCGAAAGUUGAAAUAUCCGAAGGGAGCCUUGGUUUUUAACGGGAGUAAUGAAGAUGAUUUCUUAUACUGUCUCCCGGACAACAAAGAAAUAUUCGUUUGCCAGGAGAUAGGUAGAAGCAUGGGAUUCCCGAAGCUGGAAGACGACCUUUCAAUUUUGUCGAAGGACGACCUUGCUGACAGCCUACCAUACAACAAUAUAAAGGUAUAGAAGUUAACUUUGAAUUUGAGAAUGAGAUAUUUCAUUUGUCAUUCUAAAUUCUUUCCUCCUCUUGUAGGGCUUAAUUCUUAGUAAUGCCCUUAGGGCGCAGAAAAAUAUUGAAGACGAAGGCUAUACGAUGGAUCUGAACAACCUUUGUUCAGAAGUGAUUGAAUUGAGAAACGAAGGUCUUGAAAAAGACAAAAUCUUAAUUUCUCUGAUAAACAAAGUGAAGGAAGACGAAGCUAGUUUCAAAGCUCAGGCCGAAGCCCAAAAGAUUGAAAUUGAAGACCUUCGGAGGCAACUGGACGAAGCUAAGGAAAAAAGCGCACUCGCACAAGCUAACCAAGAAAUUAGUGAAUAUUGGAAAAAUCAUCUAGAGAAAAAUGUUGAAGAACUUCACACAUCCAAGGAAAGGUGCUUUGAAAAAUCCUUGGAUUGCGUAAAUAAAAUAAAAGCUAGCUUCGCCAAAGUGGGUGCCUAUUAUGCUGAAGAAAAUUUCAUACGAGGCGACCCCGAAGGCGUUGUUGAAUGGAUAAGUAGAGAAGCCGAGACCUUCGAAGAAAUUUUGAGUGAUUGCGGGGAUGUUUGCGCAUUUUCUGGUGCGUGGGGAAUUUCAGCCAUCUUGGAGAAGGCGGGAUGUGAUCAUAUUAAGACCAUGGCCCAGGCCGAAGCUGCCUUCUCCGUAGAUGAUACGAAGGAUCCUUCAGCUGAAGCAACCUUGAUGGGCGGGAAAUUUUACAAUGAUGUCUGGGUGAAUGGUGGCCGAGAGAUGGCCCAUGAAAUUAUAAAAAAAGUGAAAAAAGACACCCAAGACGCCCGAGCAAAAGCAAGGCGAGCUGAAGAAGCUGCAGAGCGCGAAAAGCGUAUAGGUAUUAUUUUUGGUUUUUAGCUUUGGCAUUUUGUUUUUGUGGCUUCAGACUAAUUAAUUUUUCCUACUUCAGCUGAAUUAUCUCCGCCGCCGGAACCGUUCGAUCCCCUAGCUGAUCCAAAAAUGAAGGAAGCGUUGAACAUCAUAAACAUGGUUGAAUCCCUCGUCGACGAAGUGGUCAACAAAUUGUUGAACGAAGUUGCAGAGAAAAUUCUUAAAGAGGACUAGAUUUAAUUGUAUUAAACAUUUUGAAAAGCUUGAUGUAUACAACAAAUGAAGGAAGAUUAGGUUUCUAUUGUAACAAAACUAUGUAAUAUUUAGAGUGUUGAAUUGAAUAUGUAAAUUAUUGUAGUUUAUUUCUUUGCGAUGCAUGAAAUUUACGCACAUAUCGUUUUUGAGCCUUCGGCGAAAAAACACCUUCCCUUCUUUUCAUGCUUCAUGAAGAAAAAGAUCCAUGCUUCGUAAAUAAAGAUAUACGUGCUUUGUAAAAAGAGAUUCUUUCUUGUAACAAGGCUGAUAAAACUGUAUCUUCCCAAAACUUACUCCGUGCCUUAGCACCUUUUAAUUUUGACGAAGCAUUUGCCGAAGAUGAGCUUCGUAUUCAAUUCUCGUAUCAUUGAUGCAAUAUGAUGUAUGAUGUGAUGUUAUACGAAAUGAUGCGAUGAUAUGAUGCAAAAUGAUGAGGAUGCCGAAGACACACACCCACACGCCCAUACUGAAACACACAAGCUCUGCAUCCCCUUAGGAACGACUUUUAAGCUUUUUCACCUUCUAUUACGGUGAUAUAAGUUCUGCAUCCCCUUAGGAACGUGUUUUGAACUUCUUCGCCUUCUAUUUCAGCGGUAUAAGUUCUGCAUCCCCUUAGGAACGACUUUUGAACUUCUUCGCCUUAUAUUUCGGCGGUAUUUGGCUCUGCAUUCCCUUUGGAACAACUUUUGAGCAGAAAACUUACACUGCGCUCCCUUAGGAACGACUUUUUAUAGCUUCGUCAAUUUUAGCUCUGCAUUCCCUUAGGAACGUCUUUUGAGCUUAAAACUUACGCUGCGCUCCCUUAAGAACGACUUUUUUAGUAGCCUCGGCAAAUUUAGCUCUGCAUUCCUUUAGGAACAACUUUUGAGCUUCGUAAUUCUGUGAGGAAGAUAUAUUUCAUUCUGAUAGAAGCAAAAUCAUUACAAAAUUUUAAAACUAAAUUUGCAUUACUUGCUCCUUAUUAAAAAGCAAAAUGGCAUAGAACACAAAAGCAUUUCAGAAGUAGGAUAUCGCUCAGUAUAUGUGCUUUGAUUCUGGUACAGUACUAUUGACUGUACGAGCUUCGGGCUCCUCCCUGAAGUCACGUUGUUGUUGGGAGUGCUGGCGCCCUUCUGGCUGCUGGCUUCGGGAAUAUGUAGGCUGCAGGGGUGGUGGCGGUGGGAGCUGAGGCCAGGAAGCCUGUGAAUGGCUUGCCAAAGCAACAGAAACUGCAGGUUGGUUGCCCACAUAUUCCGGUAUGUAGGGAGAGUAGCACGAAGCAGUAUGUAGGACUUGCUUCGGUUGAUUGUGCCGAGCUUCUGCUUCGGCAAUCUCCUUUUGCUUUAGGGUAGUGAUCUGGCAGGUUCUUGUAGUGUGGUCUUUGUCCUCACCACAGAAUAAGAAAUAAAUUUUCCUGGGCUGAUCCCCAUAUCUUCCUCCGAAGCUCCUGUUGCCUCUGCCCCUUGGAGCUGGCGGUCUGAAGGAGCUUUGCUGCUGUCCCGAAGAUUAUGAAGCGUGAUGUCGUCUCUGAAGCUGGCUUCCUUUGUCAUCAUUCUGACUGGAGCUGUGAAUUGAUCUGACAUGCCUAGAGUGGAUUCUCCCUCCGAAGCCCCUAGUCAUCUCAGAAAAUUUGUAAGCUUCCUCCCUUCUUUGUCGGAAGUCAUUGUCAGCCCGGAUGUAUUCAUCCAUUUUUUGAAGCAGCUUCUCCAGAGUUUGAGGAGGUUUCCUGGCAAAGUACUGGGCCGUAGGUCCUGGCCAAAGACCCUUGAUCAUGGCCUCAAUAACAAUUUCAUUGGGCACUAUGGGCGCUUGUUCUCUCAGUCGCAAGAACCUUCGGACAUACGCCUGAAGGUAUUCCUCAUGGUCUUGCGUGCACUGGAACAAUGCCUGAGCUGUGACUGGCUUCGUCUAAAAGCCCUGAAAACUGGUAACCAUCAUGUCUUUGAGCUUCUGUCAUGACGUGUUUGUCCCUGGCCGAAGAGAAGAAUACCAUGUCUGGGCCACAUUUCGGACUGCCAUGACGAAGGACUUUGCCAUGACAGCUGUAUUGCCUCCAUAUGAGGAUAUUGUUGCCUCAUAGCUCAUCAAGAAUUGCUUUGGGUCCGAGUGCCCAUCGUACAUGGGUAGCUAGGGUGGAUUGUAGGAUUGUGGCCAUGGAAUGGCCUACAAUUCUGCUGCCAGGGGAGAAGCAUCAUCAAAAGUAAAGGUACCAUGAUUAAAAUCAUCAUACCAUUCAUCUUCGUUGGAAGAGCCCUCUUGACGAAGCUCCCUGUGUUGAGGCCUUCGGUCAUGAUCAUCUUGAGUGAGAUGAGACACUUCCUCAGUAGCUUCAUCGAUCUUCCUCUGAAGGUCGGUCAGCCGAGGCAUCUUCUCUUUCUUCCUUUGCACCUGCUGGUGGAUGAUCUCCAUGUUCCUGAUCUCCUAGUCCAACUCCUCCUCCUGAAGUGUUGGACUGGUGGCCUUUCUCUUUUGGCUUCUAGCCUCUCGGAGAGAGAGAGUCUCCUGGUUUGUGUCCAGUCGCUGCAGUGCAGCCCCUGGCGCUGUUAUCUUCUUCGGCGGCAUGACGAAGGUUGAUACUUUGCCGAAGAUUGUGGAAGUGAGUACAACAGAGGUGGGCGCCAAUGUUGGGGACUUGUUCUCAAAUGCUAUGAAUUAAGAACAAGGCAACAUAGAAAGAAGUUAAUGGUUAAUGCCCUUCGUCCUUCGAAGCAUUAUUUCCCUUAGGAUAUAACGAUCUUCGGACGAAGGUCAUGAAGGACAUACCUUCAUCAUCACAGUUUAUAUUGAUGAAAGGAGAAGCAUAUGAAACAUGAGAAAUAACAUGAAUAAUCAUAUAACAUUAUUUAUAUGUCCUUAUUAUAUAAUCAUGGAUGAAUAAGAACAACAUUGAAUUACAUUUAUACCUUCGGCUUGACAGAAGGCAAAAGUACAAGCGUGACGCACGAGCGAGUACAAGUCAGCGUGAACAGUAUGGGGGUACUGUUCAUCUAUUUAUAGGCACAAGGCGCAGCCUGUGUGAAAUUACAUUCAUACCCUUCAUGUUUACUAUUGACUUAAUAACAAUCAACCGAGGAUUUGAUAGCCUUUCCCUCCUUAAGUCGGUUCCUUUUUCCGCUGCUGAGCCGAAGCUCCCUUGCGCGCAGCUUCGGCGCUGGUUCAACCUUCGUUCCGACCCUGCUUUCCCUAUUGUGUACAGCUUCAUCCCGAGUCCAAAGGUUCCUGUACAUAUAUUAAGCUUGGGAAACAUUGUUAAUCAUGUUUUUUAGGACCUUCGGAAGACGAAGGCCCCCAACAAUUGCCUUGAAGGCAACGACUUGCGAAGCGAUGGAGGUGAUGUUCCCUUGCUCUAAGUCAUCGAUGUGCUUGGAGUCCUUUACCAUCAUCUUGUGCCUAAGGAACUUUCCAAACACCUCUUUCGGUGUCACAUUCUUGUACUUAGAAUUUUCAUGAAUCAAGGUAGCAACAAUAGUAUUACGAGGGGUAAAAGACCUUAGCAUUAGCUGAACGACUACGUGAUCCAUCCACUUAUUGCUCCCAUCAUUGCAGACUUGUUCACCAAGGACUUGAUCUAGUUGUACUUCUCUUGUGGCCCUUCUCUCUUGUUCUUGGCGAACCUCCCAAGCUCCCCUUCUAGGAGCUCCAUCUUGGUGAUCUUGUCACCUUCGUGCGCCAUCUUGAGUGUAUCCCAAAUUUUCUUGGUGCUCUCCAACCUGGUCACCUUGUUGUAUUCUUCCCUACACAAAGAGACAAGUAAUACCCUUGUCGUCACUAUUAGGUAUCUCCAUUCCUAGUUCAACAACACCCCAAAUACUGGAUGGACUGAGUAUAAAUGUCCCUUCAUUUUAUGACUCCACUAAGAACAAUCUUCACCAUCAAAGUCUGGUGGUUUUCCAAGCAAAACGGAAGUAAAAGGGUACUUGUAUUGCGAGGAAUGCGAGACUAAUCGAAAGAUGUUGUAGAAUAGUUUGGUUUAACCAUCUUUCGAGGAUGGUGACGCUUGGAAGUCGAUAGCGAUGUUGAAGUGUCGAUAUCGCAGUAGGCAACCUUCUUGAUCUUUUUCUUCUUGCUAUCCCUCAUCAUGUAGGACUUGGAACCUGAGUCAAUGGAUUCCUCAUGCCUUCUCCUUGUGCUUCUCUCCUAAGGGGACUUUUUUUGCUAUGGAGGGAUCCUUUGUCCAACAUCAUUUUGAGUUGUUAGACCCUAAAUUAAGUCUCAAGCUCUAAUACCAAUUAAUAGUCGCCUAGAGGGGGUGGAUAGGCAACACCUAGAAUUUAAACACUUAAAACAAAACUAUAUCCCAAAUUAGUGGUUAUAGACAGAUGAAAUAGAAUUCACGAAAGGGAGAUGAGUUCUCUUGCACUUGUUGCUUAUAAGGAUGCAAGAUUAACUUGGAGAGCAACUCAAGUGAUUCAUAAUGAAAGAUCAAAGCAAGAGAACUUAGAGAGGAAGAGGGAAGAACAAAUCACAACAAAAGAAAACACACACAAAGACAAGACAAUUUGAUUUACUACAGUUCGAUUCCAAAGAACCUACAUCUCCGUUGAGGUGUCCCAAAGGACAAGGUUUCUUUCAACCCUCUCAAGCAAUUCGAACGAUCAAGCUUGAGCCCUCUAUAUCUUUUGAGAGAUGAAAGAUAGUCUCUGUAAGGCACUUCACAAACUUGGAGCCUCUUACUAGCUUUUACAAUGAUGAAACACUAGACACAAGAGCACAAGAUCACAACAACACAAAGCACUCACACAAGACACUAUCAAGAACAACUCCAGAAUAACUAUCUCUUGCACUAUUCUCACUAAUGGCACUUGGGAGGCUAUUUGAUCUCUAUGAGGUGUUUUUCUAGCUUAUAGGAGUUGAAUCACAACUCUUUUGUACUUUUGAGGCUAGUUGGGGGUGUUUAUAGCCCAACCCCUCAAUUAGAUGUUAUGUGAGAUCCCAAACAUUUGCACCUACCUUGGGUGCAUCAGACCGGUCUGGUGCACCACCGGACCUUCUAUUAGCCCACGUAAUCAACGGAAAGCUGACAUGUCAGGUGGCAUCAUUCCAGUGCACCACCAAACUCCACAACAUCAUCCACCAUGUCAUCUAGCCAUUGGAGUAGGAACUAGCCAUUGAACUUGAAAGGUUCAGUGCACACUAGACUAGUCUGGUGUGCCAUGUGCUUCAUCUUCUUCAUAAGCGACAAUUCCACGUAAUUGGUCCAGUGCAUCAAGCCACCAUAGCCAUGUAGAAGUUCUUUCUGCGUAAGUGAUCUAAUGCAUCAAGCCACAGAAAACGAGAAACGCCUUCACUGUGUGCUCGGUUCGCGCCACCGAACUGGUCCGGUGCAACGCAAACCUACUAGAAUUAAGUCCAAACUAGCUGGAUGCCCGUGCGUUGCAACGGGAAUAUAUAAUAUCAGUAUACUACGAUAACUUAUAUACAAAAUCUGUGUUAUACUGUUAUGAGAAAAUGUUUUAUAAUCAAUUUGUGAUCCUAGCCAUACAUAAAUUUUGUUAUUUUAAUCUAGUUAUUUCACCACUACAUUGCAACCAUCAGUAUCAUGCAGACUUCGAUAUAUGUCAGGAUUUGUAUGGUCUCAUCAUUGGAGAGCACGUUCCACACAUGCCGGAAAAAUUCCCUCGUACAUCGUUAGUCAUCAGACACGCACCACCAUAUGCUCUUGCUUAAACAAAAAGGUAAGUGUGUAUGUGUUUGCGAAGAGAAUUAAAGGCAGGCCGGCACAAAAGCUACCCUGACGGUGGCGAGGAUGACGAACUGGUCACUGUUGUCGAUCCUCCUCUGUGUCACCUCCGGUGCCAAGAUGACGCCACAAUCCUCGAUAUAGUAGUCGUCGAAUGCACGCGACAUGACGAGUACCGAUGACUCUUGGUUGGGCUGCCAAACAAAGUGCACCCCGGGCUCAUCAGCGAGGUAGUACCCCUGCCCGUUGCACCACCAGAUGCGCUAUUCCACUACAUACAUCAUGUUCGAGGACACUCACACAACGUCAGCAACGUCCAUCGUCCCAGCGCACAAGAAUUCAUGUCCGGUCAGUAGCGACUUACGUGGCAGGUUGGGCUUCAGGUGGACGAUGAGCUGGACGGCGUGAUGGCGUCGUCGUCGGAUGCGGUGUCCAGAACAACCCGAGAGUCGUCGACGUUGGCGACAACCAUGAGGCCCCCUGCUUAACGAUGGACAGAGCGGUGCAGCUGCUCUGGACCGCGUCCAAGCGGCGGCUUCGCGGGAGCUUGUCGUACACAGCGGCGCAUGCGACCACGUAAGACUGCUUUUAGAGGUCGAACUGACAGUCGCCAAGCUUCUUCUCGUCAUCGAUGAGCGACGACAACGCGAGUGCCUCCUGCUCAUGGAGUUUGUUCGAGGUUUGAAGUAGGAAACAUGGAUUCAUGCUUGGCGUUGGUUUAUGAAAAUGACUCACAAGUCUGAUCCAUGGAAAAAAAAUAUUACGAAGAAAAAAUUUCACACAUGCAAAAAAGGGAAUUUAAGUAUAAUGCAUUAUUCAAAUAAAAGAAAUAGCAUGCAAAGCUCUUCUUUAAAUAAUAUUACCUCCAUCCAAAAAUAUAAUUCAAGAAUAUCGGUGAUACUUAUCUACUACUACGCAUUGUGCAAUGAUAGCAAGUGAGCUUGUAGAGAGAUGUAGUAGAUGUGUUUCCUGUCAUAGAUGUAGACAUAAACACAUAUAGGUGGGUGCCCGUGCGUUGCAACGGAAACAUUUAAUAUCAUGAUAACUUAUGAACAAAUGUGUGUUAUACUGUUAUGUGAAAAUGUUUCGUAAUUAAUUUGUGAUCCUAGCCAUACAUAAAUUUUGUUAUUUCAAUCUAACUAUUUCAUCACUACAUUGCAACCAACAGUACCGUGCAGACUUCUAUACAUGAUAGCUGAAUGCCCGUGCGUUGCAACGGGAAUAUAUAAUACAAGUAUACUACGAUAACUUAUAUACAAAAUAUGUGUUAUACCGUUAUGAGAAAAUGUUUCAUAAUCAAUUUGUGAUUCUGGCCAUACAUAAAUUUUGUUAUUUAUAAUCUAUCUGUUUCACCACUACAUUGCAACCAUCAGUAUCAUGCAGACUUUGAUAUAUAUCACGAUUUGUAUGGUCUCAUUAUUGGAGAGCACGUUUCACACAUACCGGAAGAAAUUCUCUCGUACAUAGUUAGUCAUCGGACACGUACCACCAUACGCUUUUGCUUAAACAAAAAGGUAAGUGUGUGUUUGCAAGACUAAUGGUCAAACAUCGUAUAACCAUAAAGUUAGAAUACUAUAUUAAUAUAUUAAAUAAAUUAAUCCAAUAGACAUAGAUUAACCCAAUUAACAUAGGAUAAAUAAAUAUGUAAUUAUAAAAGUAUGAAACAUGGUAUAAUCAAUGUUGUUACUGCGUAGUAAAUAUUCAUACGAGACUAACACAACUAGAACGAUUCAAUUUGGAAUUAAAAUGGGGAACUUACGAAUUUCCAAAGUUUCUAUGUAUUUGAUAUAGGAUUAAUUAGGAAAUCAAUUUUAUUGUUGUUUUCAUGACAAAACAGAGGUAUUAUGUGAUAAAAUAAUAUUAUAGAAUUAUAGAAAUUGGAAUGAACUCAUUUGGAUUUAAUAUGAAAUUUCCAUGAAUUAAAUGGGUUUCUGCAAUUAUUUUUAAACUAAAAAUCAAUUUCUAAACUUCUUUUCCCUAUUUUCUUUAUUUCCUGGACUGCGUCCCAAAUUCCAGAAAGAUCAGGGGCCAAGCUAUAAAUGUUUUUCUAGACUCAGUGAGCAUACAGAGUGGACGGUGGGUUAAACACAAAAGACGUCUUAGUUGAAGUUGUACACAAUUCAACAUGAGUCAUGUUGGCUAGAGGGUGGAAGGCUAGGCAUUUUGCUCAAUAGAUCCAAGGUUCAAUCCCUGGGCAGCCAUGGUUUGAUUUUUUUUCUACGCGCGGAACGGGGGAGGGCAGAACGGCAGACUACUCUUACCUUCUUAAUAAGUAGUAUAGAUUAGGCUAUCCUUAUUUGAUUCCAUUUGACUAUCUUUGAGAGCAUUCCCAUGAGCUAGACAAACUUAUCUAGUGCAUGUUCAACUAGUCUAAGUCAUAGUUCUUCAACCUUUUCAAAUCUCCAACUUAGAAUCAUGUUUUGGCCCAAACUUGGCUCCAAAUGCACUUUUUCUAAAAUCUGAACUUCUUGUCCUUCCAAGGUGCUGAAAUCCGUUUCUAAGGGCAUUUAGAAGUUAUCCAAACUUAUUAACUAAUCAAAGUUCACCUUAUCCAAAAUAUGCCCUUCCAAGUCUUGAGUUGAGCUAUUUGUUGCACUGAAUACAUGAAUUUGAUUCUUACGAAUCUGCAACCAUAUUCUUAGCAAACUAGUUAGAUCACAAUGUUGUGUUCGUCAUCAAACACUAAAAAUAUGCCCGGGGUCCGUGCAUACUACAUCGGAAACAAAAGAAAUUGACACCAAGACCUCCAACGAUGAGGGUAGUGGUCAGUAGUGAAGAUUCAAAUGAUAUGUUUAUGGUAAUUUGUGAUGAGUACUUUUAUUGAACUUUACGUAUGUUACUCACAUUGUCAGCCACAUCUUAGACAAAAUCAUACAUCACGAUGAAAUAAUGCUUGCCAACAACAUUGUGCUCGACUAGUGAUGAUGAGACUCAUCCUCCAUGGUUCACAUUCACAGUUUAUGACGAUGUUCCUCUAGACUUACCACUCACAUCUCCUUUGCCAUGAAACUUUCAAACCAUGUAUCCAUGGACAAAACCCCACUAGAUCAAAUGAGAUUGCACAUCACUGCCUUCUAGCAUCCAAACACGCUUGUUCCUAUAGUGAGAACACGAACAUAUGAUUCCCUGAUAAUUCACAUCUAGAGCAUGCUUUUGAGCAGUGUAAAAAACUUUUUAUCGCUUGUUAUGUAAAGGGUUGUGAUAAUCUUGAUAUGUGGUACAUCCAUUCUAAUAUGUCCAUGUCAAUUAGCCUUGUAUGUAGCAAAAUAUAUCAAUAUGACAUAACAAAAUGAGAGGUGCAUCACUUGAAUGCAUAACUUGUUACAAAUAAUAUAAAUAUAGACAAUAUAUAAUUAACAUAAACAAAAAACACCACUAGAUAGCAGUAUGUAGAGCUUUACUAUGUCAUACAUAAACAUAAGUAUAGUAGUAUUACAAAAAAACCAUUCAAAUGAAGAACAAGAUAAGUUUUCUCUCUCUUCUACCAUAGAACUAGUUCCACAUUACCGAAAACUUGAAAAAAGAAAGCAAAAUAAGGAUGUGAGAGCGCAUAACAACCUCCUAUGAUGUCCUCCUUCAAGGAAUCCAAGAGAGACAUUCCACCCCUAAAACAUGGUGAUUUUUGGAGUUAGCUUCAACCUCGUCAAACUGAAUAGGAAAGCUCAUGGAACAAUAAGAUAGGGUGGGUGAGGGGUCUGAUUUUAUAACCAUAUAUUAGAGUCGGGCAUCCUAAGGCUGACCACCUAUGUUAAUGAAGCCAAUAAGGGAGGCGAUCUUUGUAGUAGCACCAUCUCUGUUAAUAGUUAUUAACAAAGACAAUCAACGUACAUCGCUAUCUUGAUUAACUAAAUGAUGGAGGCGAUAGUCGUAAGGCGUCCAACUCUAUUAAUGUACUAUUAAAGGAGGCGAUUGUCUUAUGUUGAUCGCCUCUGUUAACCUUUAAUCGAUGUGACCACUUAGCUAUGAGGUCUAUCAAUGAUUAAAUGGGGGGUCAAAUAAUAAAACAAAUUUAUAGCAUUAAAUCCACUAUUUGUUAAAAAGAUCAAAGAAUAAAAGGUAUUCAACGAAUGACAAAAAAGAUUUGAAUAUAAUGAAAUAAAUAUUAAAGUGCAAGGCAUAUUGGUAGAUCCUGUCGUGAAGCCCAAAAAGUUAAUACAAUUAUGAACAAUAAUUUUCUAAUGAGGUACUGAAGGCCGUUAGGGUUACACAACACCGAUAAUAUAGGCUAGUUUUACCUCUCACAAGACACUUAUCUUAAUCAUAGAUGAUGCAACGCUAGUUCGACCGAUCAACCAUCUGAUAGAUCUAAAAUGACAUUUGAUCAUGAACGAUAUCUUUUAAAGUAGUAACUCAAAAUUAUGGUCAACUUCAGCAAUGCUUUCUACUUUCUAACCGGUCGGUUAGUUCCUAAUGGCCAUCCAAAAUAGUGCGUGCCUAUGUAGUCGAAGCGAAGGUAGUGCAACUGCAAAUAGGUAUGAAGCGAAAGUGAAUGUGAACGCGUAUACAUUGAAGGAUGUGCAGACUAACAUGCUAAAAAAUGUAAAAAUAUGAGUUUUUUCUCUUUCGUUCAUAAAUCCUAUCCCCAAAACACACGUGUCAAGCAUGAUGGACACUAGUGUUUGUCUUGACUUAACAAAUGAGACAUAAGGCCAUUUUUAAUAUAUUAUAGCUAAUAGUUAGUUACUAAAAUUAGUUAAAGACAUCCAAACAAUCUACCUAAUAAUUCUGCUAAUAACUACUUUUAGUAAAUUAUCUAAUAGUUACAAGUUAGCUAAUUUCACUAACAACUUUUUAGCCAAUUAACUAUUAGCUCUAGUAUAUUUAAACACACUCUAAAAAUAAAAAGCAACUAGAAGGGUAUAAAUGAAUCAAGGGCUAGACAUUGAAUCUCUACUACACCAUAUGACUCUACCGAGGGCGUCCACCCGGCGUCACCAUGCCCCCGCCAUAGUGCCCGCAAGGUCACCGGCCACAGCCUCGUCACCUUCCUCCCCGCCCCUCGCGCGACCCCUCGUCGCGCUCCCAUCCGCUGCGCCCCUCCCUGGCUCCCUGCACCGUAAAUUCCUCACCUCAGAACCCACGCUCGAGCUCCACCAACCACCCCCCCACGGACAGAUCCUCGCCCUUGCCCCUCCCCCCGUGACGGUCGCGUCCGUGUCCGCUGUCACGCCCCAGCCCCCAAACCCGUGCAUAGGGAUGAAAACAGUUUCGGAAUUUUCGGUAUUCCGGAAACCGAUUUCGAAAUUUUUCGAUCGGAUUCAUCGGUAACGGUAUUUUUCGAAAACAGAAUCGGUUUUCGAAAUUUUCUAUCGGAAUCGGCGUGGUGUUUUACCGACCGUUUCCUUCGGUUACCGUUUUUUGUCGGAAAUUACCGGAUUUGUGUCUUGUAAUUUUUUGGAAUUGUGUCUCGAAAUUUUUCAGAAUUUUCCAGCAUGUGAUUUUUCGCAUCGCCUCUAUGUCUCUAGAUAACAGUGGCGGAGGAGCCAUUAUGGCUUAGUGUGGCAUCAGCGAUACCUUAUUGUUAAAAACUCUUUUAUCUUCCACUAUAAUCACAAAAUAAGACACGGGUGGUGGAUGUGUAUCCUCAAUUCUACCAACAGGUUCGAUUCCUGAUUCUUGCAUAUUUUAUUUUUUCAGCCAUACCAUAUUUUUUCUUUGCCCUCUGCUACUGCUAGAUAAGGAUUACUUAUUUUUGUAUUUUUUGUAUGCCUUAAGAUUUUUUGGGAUAGAUGGCGUUGGAAGGCAGUUGAGAUUAACGAUUUGGUCUUUUCCACACACUAGGUUUUAGGGUUUUCCUGUGAGGUUGUGAAAAACUCUUUAUGUGGGGAAAAAUAUUUCAUAAGUAAGCAUGCCAUGUCAGCUAGAUCGAGUGGAUAUUGUGAAUUGUGAACUUUGAGUCUGUGAACUUGUGAUCUUUUUGAACUUGUUAUACUGUGAGCUUGUUAUAUUAUGAACUUGUGAUCUUUGUAAACUUUUUAUAUUAUAAAUUUGUGAUCCUUGUGAACUUGCUAUAUCAUGAAUUGUGAACUUGUGGUCUUUGUGAUCUUUUAUCAACUUUGUUGUAUUAUGAAGUUUGAUAUGUUUACCGAUCGUAUUUUAGAUUUCGACCGUUACCGGUGUAUUUUCCGCACCAAACGUUCGUUUCCGAUGUUUCCGAAAUACCGAUAUUGUUUCUGUUUCUGGAGUUACCGUUUUCGAUUUUGUUUCCGAUAAAAAAAUGAAAAUAAUAAUGGUUUUAGUGUUUACCGACCGUUUCUGACCGUUUUCAUCCCUACUCGUGCACCAUCGACUGCUCCCCACCUAUCCCACCGUCUCGCCCAUCCCCUCCCCCACCGCAGAGACACCGUGAUGCGGGAUAGCCGCGUCGUCCCCUCAAACCCUUCAGAGAGUCUACGUCCCCACAUUUGCGGGCAGGCGGAGAUCUGGAUCUGCUCUCCUCUGCUUCGUCGCUCGGCGGUCUCGUCGCGACGGAAGAACAAGCAGCUUGUCGUCGAGUGAGGCCACGUGUCUCGUCCCUACAUCGGCGUCGCGGCUCCACUGAGCGUGCGCGUCAGCGUCACCGGCGAGAGGCGAGGGCAGGCGGUGGUGGCGAUGGCGUCCGCCGACGCGCGCUUGGCGGGGAUCGCCUCCUUCAUCUGCGUCAUCCCUGACUUUCCCAAGCUAGGUGGGUUCACCCUUGUCUUUCGUACGAGCGUAUCUCACCUUACUCCUCUCUGUAUCAACAACCCAUCUGAUGUACAACUCACGUGGUUGGAUGACGGGUUGCUGAAUGAGUGGACACGAGCUUCGUUUUCGGGAUUUCGUUUUUUGCGUUAACUACGCUGCAUAAACUCACGUCACUGCUUAUAUAUUUUUUACUGAAAAAAUAUCGGAGUGUUUGUUUGACGAAAAGAUGGUUCAGCAGUCAAACUUAGUUACUAUUGGAGUAGUGGUUAGACCAUGGAGGUAUAAAAAACUUUUACUCACGUGAGAGGUGUACUAGACCACAAAUAUAAAAUAUGUUCUUCAAACAAUAUUAAAAUUAGGACUGUUUCAAUCCUACUACUGAAAUAUCGAUUUCAGUUUACAGUAAAAGCUGGCUAGCAGAUAGAUCCAUUGUCUUCAAGUCUAUUGCUUUGCUAUGCAAGAAUUCAAACAAUGUAAACUGCAAGUAUGCACUACGCAGUACACACGAUAACUCAUAUAAAACUUUUGCACUAACUGCUUGCUAACAUAGGACUGUGAUUAGCUGAUGGAAGUACAAAACUAUAUAUAAUAUAUAAUUAACUAAUCUGUUGCCAUUGUUGAUAGUUAUGACUGGUCAUUCUGAAGGUAGGAAUCAAGAAUUGUUAUACUAUAUGACAGUGUAGAAACAACCAUGCCAUUUGUUUUGUAUGAUCUGCUCUCAAAAGCACAUCAACCAAAUUUUUAUGAUCCUGAAAUCACUGAUUAAAACGCUAUAAGAGAUGCUUGAUGCUUUCAUCUUUAGCAUGAGGAUAUCUAAUUAGUAACACAUAAUUUUGUCCAAACUGAGUAGCUGAUAACAUGGUAUCCGGUGUUUAUUGUUAAAUUCUAAUGCUUCAAAAUUAUACUUUGUCAUCACCAGUUUUUCAUCUCCUUCAUUCCUAUUGUUUGAGUGCUAUAACUCAGUUGUUACCUAUAAGUUUUUCAAUGAUUUUUUUCUCAUUCUCCACCUAUGUUCAAUUAAUAUUCUUAUCUACUAUUGGUGGGAUAUAUGGUUGUCUCAAUGAAUAUUCCUAUCUACUAUUUGUGUGAUAUUCACAUAGUUUGUUCUGCUGCAUUGUCAUCAGUUAGUCUUGCUAUAUGCUUUAUAUGAGAAAAAGUGAGAAAUUGCACCUUUUUAUCAGCCAUAAGUUGUUGGUUUGGAUAAUAAAACUGGUUUUUCCUGAACCUUGGUGCAGUAAGUAUCAUCAUUCACAUACUGUGACUAAUAAUUUUGUACUCCCUCUUUUUUAUUUUUACAAUGCUUGUUCCUCUUCACUAAAAUGGCGAGAUUCUGUACAGUUUAAGUUGCUCAUAUUGUCUAUCCAUGUUCUUUUGAUGUGCAAUACAGGGAAUGAGAAUCUCUUGCCCUUGAGAGCCUUUUGACUUCAGAAUAUUUGCAAUGCCACGAUUAUGAGCCUGGGAAGCCUAACUGACCAAAGGCUAACUGAUUCAUUGUUUUCACCAUGAUUCAGACAUAACACCUAUCACCAUCAUCACUACACCUUCCUUCUUCCAUUUACUAUAGUCAUUUCAAAAAAUGUUUUUGUACCAUUAUGUGGAUCAAAGAUAUCGAAAAAGGAGCGAUGAUCGUUUCUUAUGUACCUGUGGUUGCAGAAGGAUGCAACCAAAUGCGAGAUCUACGUGGCCUUCAACACCAAUCACCUAUUGAUGGUCAUCGGGCUUCCAGAGUGCUCUGGGUUCCGAUAGGAUCUCUAAAGUUUACACCUUUACAUACCCUGGAAUCUCUAACCAUUGUUGCAUUCCACUUUGGUGAGUACUAUGAAUGAGAUAUGAACAUUAUAAAACUGUUACUUUGAUCCCUUUGUGGUGGACUAGAUGCAACAAGCAAUUCAUUUAAUUUCUCAACUGUCACAACCAAAAACAGAGAUGACAUAAGGUAAUAAGUAAAUGAAAUGACCUAUGAUGACAUGAUGAGGGUGGAUAGUAUAUAAAAACAAUUGACAAAACUUAUAAUUGUAACUAAGAUCCAUAUAUUUAAAUAUAUGAAUUCAAGAGAAUUGGGGACAUCCAUGGUGAAUAUGUGCGCUGACAUGCAGUCUUGGUCAAAAUUGCACCCAUCACCAAAUGGAUGAAUCUUUUUGGAUUGAAAGAAUUGUAGCAUUCCCUAGCCCUUUCUUAUUGCUUUCAUGGUCAUCACUCACUAAAUCGACACAGUGAGCUGGCUUUUUUCUUGAGAACUAGACUCAAUUUUAAUAGUACUAGAAAAGAAAGCGCCCUAUCGGGCGCUGGAUAGUUUAAACCAUAUGUUAUAGCGCAUAAGAGUCUAUGGUCUUAAGACAAACAUUUUGAUGUAGACACAAAAUUAGAAGGUCCAGAAGUACCUUAAGAUUAGUAUUGACAACAAUCAAAUGUUUGGCAAUAGUCUAUGGCUUGAACUAAGGAUUGUUACAAAUGAUCACAUAGAUUCAUGCUCACUUAAAAGAUGAUAAUGAGCUUGCUUCAAAAUAAACACCUACAAUCUCAAUUGUCGGCCUUUCACACAUUCUGCCGCUUCUAGGUCUGAUAGGCAUAUAUCGAUCUAUAGGCAUGCAUGCUGCAACAGCAAUAAUCAACAAGCUACAUGCCACCACCCAAACCUAAUUGCCACUGCUGAUGCCUGGAAAGUUUUCAGAAGCUUGUUUGUCUGUUUCUCCAAUUUGGAAUCACAACUCUUCUAACGCACAUGGAAUCGUCGCCUUCCGCACACUCUUCUGGCGCACGCCACUGACGAUCACUGUGGCAUGCUGCUCUCUUUGACGAGUUGAAAAAAUAGGCUCCAACUCAACAUUCGUUUUGCGUUCCCUACCUACAGGGCAUGGAGUUUAGACAACAACAUUUUCAAACUUUCAAUUUCCGACGAAGUAGAAAGAAUGAGAAAAAAGAAUAAUUGUCUAAUUGUUUAGAUAACAUUUUCAAACCAUGAUUCAUCAGCUCGAAGUUUUAGACUUCCAGUGCGGUAAAGAAUGCAGAUUGGUUCAUAGAAUCUGAUUGAAGCCUGAUGCCCCUAUAACUUGGUUUUCAAAAGAAAAAAAUGUACCCUAAAAGCUACGAUAGUCUUUGUUUUUAAACAGAUGUGAUUAGAAGAAAAGUGCCUCUAUACUGCAUCUAAAAGAAAAGGGCAAAAAGAGAUUCAGUUCCCGCAUCAGUAAAUUUAGUACUGGAAAAAUAAUAUAGCGUACUCUGUCAGUUGGUGUCUGCUUGGGAAGAUGGUCUCUUGAUCUCUUGGAGCCCUUAGAUCUACAUGAAACACUGACAUGUUCUCUAUGCUAUUUGUUUGAGAAAAUUGAUGAACUUAUAUCACAAUUUUAUUAGAGUAAUUUAACUGGACAGCUGAAAAAUUUAGGAAUUUUUGUGCAGAAUCAUGCAUCAGGAAAAUGGGAAAUUUAUGAAGUAAUUAUAUCCAAGCUAACUAACAAAAAAUAGAAAGUACCCAAUGUUCCAUCGCUGGCACACUUUACAUAGAAACUCAUACUGAAUCUAAUCUAUGAUGGAGCAGCUCAACAAUGGUUUCAGAUCAUCACAUAUACCUCUUCACCUACAAAACUGAUAGAAUAGAAUCAAGGAAGCAUCAGUAACAAAAUACAAGAACCUCAGGGCUCAAAAUUUGAUUAUUUCAUAUGCAGAGAAUGGAAACAAAUUAAAAAAACUCAUUGUUUUUCGAUACUAGAUAUGAAUGAGGUACAGGAACUGGCCAUGAACAAUGAGAGCCAAACACACAAUUCUAACUAAGCGAUGAGAGUGCCAGAAGGCAUUGAAGCCAGUCAGUUUGUCAAAUGUUUUUGGAAGCUUCACCAGGCUACGACAUAACCUCUGUGUUGCUAAAGUGAAAGCAUUAACCAUACAGAUAACCAUAAUUACACCAGUGAUGCCUUCCACUCCUUUGUCCAAUGUAAUUAUGUUGGCUUUGUUUCACUAAAGUACUGGCCCAAAAAAGCAUACUUCUCAUUUGAUGAAUUUAUAACCAGUGGAAAAUCACACAAAAGGUGGUUCGCUACAUGGAGGAUUAUACCACCACUCAUUGUCUGGAACGAAAAAAAAACAGGACACAAAAUUUGUCUCACCCUUCCAUUUUCUUUCACCAUAAAGAUUUUCUACACGCUCAUCUAUUUCACGUGUUAAUGCCAAACGUUGUGUUUGAUCUUCACCAACAGGUACCAGGUCGGACUGUGAUCAUUCAAGCUAGCUAAAUAAGCUGUUAAUAAUUCGUGUGGUAUAAAAGCAUGUCAGAAGCCAUUAAAACAAGAUAAGUCAAAAAUGCAACCCAACAUUUUCAUCACCCCGAUAUUUUUUAAAAGCAUCAGUAGUACUGUUAUAAUCAAAUUCAACAAUCUGAAAUAUUUAACACCAUAAUUCAAGGCAUCGAAGGAUUUUGCAAGAUGGAAUUUGACUCCACCUUAUACAUAUGAAAUUAAUGCUUCAGAGUAGGGAAGAACUGACAUCUUUAAAGUUCAAAGCAGCAUGAAGCUGUAUAAAGUGACGAGGCAUCACAGUUGUGAUCUGAUGAUAAAAUUAGAAUUAGGCAAUUAGUGCAUAUGUGUGGACCUCAUGUAGUGUAAACUGAGCACGCAGUAGAUCAAACAGAGACCCGCAAUGGACCAUUAGACCAAAAGUAUUAAAAUACAAGGAAGAUAUUGCAAGAUAAUUUAUCUGCACCUUUGAUUCAAUAAUCCACUAAAUGUGAAAGCCAAACUGUAGCACGUAUUGUUGUAUCACGAGUGACUAUGUCGUGGCCCAUAAGCACAUGGAAUUGCUAGUCAGAAAUCAGAAUCACCCACCGUGGAUUCUUGUCUUCCCCAAGGCCACGCCGAGAAGGACUAUCGUGAACCUCUGGGCCCCCGGACCUCCCCAAGCCACCGCACUGGCACGCCGCUAUGUCGACGUCCACUCGCACGGGCAGACGAGAGACUGCGAGGGCUCGAACGACGAUUUGAGUGGCGGCGUGGAUGUAAGGGCGCCCGCUCCUCAGAGAGAGAGAAGUCAGAUUCCACGGCGCGAUGCUGGACUAUGGCAACCUGAUCCGGUACCAGCUGCCUGUGUUGAGUAGCUGCCUCCGCAGCACACCGUUGUGUGCGGCGAGGUCGAAUGCGGCGAUGGUCCUCUCAAUCGUGGGUGCGACAGCGGAGACGGCGGAGUAGCCGCCUAGGAUUUGGGGUGGGAGGGGCCGACCGCUUGGCUCGCAUGGAGGCGGGUACUGGAAAGACGACACAAAAACAGGCAACCAGCUAUCGUGCCCACGGACACAGGAAUUCGGAACCGGCGUCGUGGACACACGUCAAGAGAAAUGGUCCUGAAAGUACACGUGAGGCCGUGAAGCCCGUAGAGGGCGUGAAAUCCCUUCAGGUUUUAAUAGAAAAGAUGUGGUUUUGGCUGACCAACAAGUAAAUCUGGUACACCAGCAACAAUCUGCAGAUUUAAAGCUUGAUUUGGUUUCUUUUGAAGGUCCUGUAGUUUUGGCUGACCAAACAAUCUGCAGAUUUGAAGUUUGAUUUGGUUGCUUUUGAAGGCCCUAUAUGUCUUGCACUUUGAUGGGACAUGUUGCUUGGAAACACAAGGAUAUAACAUUAUGAGAGAUCGAAGUUUAGAUCUUAGUUGAAUUGUUCAUUACCAAGUUGAGAUUGUGAAAGGGAAAUGUGCCCUUGGGCCAUUUCUAAGUAUUUUGGUGAUUGAGUGUCAACACAAGUGCUUAAAUGUAAAUCUAUGCCCGUGGAUGGACAAGUUGCAAAUCACAAGUAAAGGUAUGUUUCUAAGCCUUAGUACAUUGGUUUUGUGUACUAAUAUACUUGUCUAAGUGUUAGAAACAGAGAGAAGAAGAAAGAAGAAGGGUUGGCUGUGUACAGCCAAAAGGCUGCUUCGGUCUGGGGCACCGGACUGUCCGGUGGUGCACCGGAUAGUGUCCGGUGCGCCAGGCUGCCUCGGGCGAAGACGCCACUCUCGGGAAUUUGCCGACGGCGUACGGCUAAAAUUCACCGGACUGUCCGGUGUGCACCGGACUGUCCGGUGAGCCAACGGUCGGCUGGGCCAACGGUCGGUCGCGCGAUCUGCGCGAGACACGUGGCCGAGCCAACGGUCGGAAGGGGGCACCGGACUGUCCGGUGUGCACCGGACAUGUCUGGUGCGCCAACGGCUCCCAGAUCUUUAACGGUCAGCAACGGUCGGCUGCGCUGUUUAUGGAAAUAAAUCGGGCACCGGACAGUGUCCGGUGUGCACCGGACUGUCCGGUGCGCCCGACGACAGAAGGCAAGGAUGGCCUUCCAGAUUUGUUCUCAACGGCUCCUAGCUGCCUUGGGGCUAUAAAAGGGACCCCUAGGCGCAUGGAGGAGUAUACCAAGCAUUCCUACAACAUUCUUAAGCACCAAGACAUCGAUCUCGCGCAUUCGUUUCGUUGUGAUAGCAUAUAGAGCUCUUGUGGAGUUGUGAACUCUUUGAGUUGUGUUGCGAGCUCUUGUUGCUACUUGUGUGCGUGUUGUUCUGAUCUUUUGAAGUCUUGUGUGCGUUGCUCAUUCCCCCUUUGCUCUGUGUUUCUUUGUGAAAUUCAAUUGUAAGGGCGAGAGACUCCAAGUUGUGGAGAUUCCUCGCAAACGGGAAAAGAUCAAAGAAAAGAAGAACACCGUGGUAUUCAAGUUGAUCAUUGGAUCACUUGAGAGGAGUUGAGUGCAACUCUCGUCCGUUGGAACGCCACAACGUGGAGUAGGCAAGUUUUGUACUUGGCCGAACCACGGGAUAACCACCGUGUCAUCUCUGUGAUUGGUUUCUUGUGGUUAUUGUGUUUUGACUCCUCUCUAGCCACUUGGCCAUAAUUGUGCUAACACUUAACAAGUUUUUGUGGCUAUAAGUCUAAGUUUUACAGGAUCACCUAUUCACCCCCCCCCCCUCUAGGUGCUCUCAAUUGGUAUCGGAGCCGUUCUCUUCAAGAAAGGGACUAAUCGCCCGAAGAGAUGGAUCCUAAGGGAAAGGGGAUGGUGGUCGACAACAACGAGAAGGAGUCUAUCUUCAACGAGCUGAAGAAUGACAAGUCUACCGACUUGGGGUCAAGCCACAAGCGCAAAGAUGGGAAGAAGAAGAAGACAAGGCGCAUCAAGGAGAUCGUCUACUACGACAGCGACGAAUCCUCUUCUUCCCAAAAGGACGACGACCACAACGACUACGAGAAAAGGAAACCGGUUAAUUCGAACUUUUCUUUUGACUACUCUCGUAUUCCGCAAAGUUCAAAUUCACAUUUGCUCCCCAUUCCACUUGGCAAGCCCCCUCACUUUGAUGGAGAGGACUACGGAUUUUGGAGCCACAAAAUGCGUACUCACUUGUUCUCUCUCCAUCCUAGCAUAUGGGAGAUUGUAGAGAGUGGAAUGCAAUUUGAUAGCUCGGAUAGCCCUAUGUUUAUCAAUGAACAGAUUCAUAAAAAUGCACAAGCUACUACUGUGUUGCUAGCCUCUUUGUGCAGGGACGAGUACAAUAAAGUGAGCGGCUUGGACAAUGCCAAGCAGAUAUGGGACACCCUAAAGAUUUCUCACGAAGGGAACGACAUCACCAUGCUCACUAAAAUGGAGUUGGUGGAGGGCGAGCUUGGAAGGUUUGCGAUGAUAAGGGGCGAGGAGCCAACUCAAACAUACAACCGGCUCAAGACCCUUAUCAACAAAAUAAGGAGCUAUGGAAGCACGAGAUGGACGGACCAUGACGUCGUCCGACUAUUACUAAGGUCCUUUACCAUUCUUGAUCCUCAUUUGGUGAAUAAUAUUCGUGAGAAUCCCAGGUACACCAAAAUGUCGCCCGAAGAAGUCCUAGGAAAAUUUGUCAGCGGGCGAAUGAUGAUCAAGGAAGCAAGGUACGUGGACGACGCCUUGAAUGGACCGAUCAACGAGUCGCAACCUUUUGCUCUCAAAGCAACAAGAAGCAAGGAGGCGCUACCUAGCAAGGUGGCACAAAUUGAGGCGGCCGGACUUAAUGAUGAAGAGAUGGCUCUCAUCAUUAAACGCUUCAAGACAGUACUAAAGGGUCACAAGGGGCAGCCAAGCAAGACCAAGACAAAGGGGAAGCGCUCAUGCUUCAAGUGCGGUAAGAUUGGUCAUUUUAUCGCUAACUGCCCCGAUAAUGAUAGUGACCAGGAACAGGGAAAUAAGAGGGAAAAGAAGAAGAAUUACAAGAAGGCAAAGGGCGAGGCGCAUCUAGGCAAGGAGUGGGACUCGGACUGCUCCUCUUCCGACUCCGACAAUGAAGGACUCGCCGCCACCGCCUUCAACAAAUCAACCCUCUUCCCAAACGAGCGUCACACAUGCCUUAUGGCAAGGGAGAAGAAGGUAUGUACUCGGAACUCUACCUAUGCUUCUUCAAGUGAGGACGAAUCUAGUGAUGAGGAUGAAAUAGAUUACUCGUGUUUGUUUAAGGGCCUAGAUAGAACCAAAGUAGACAAAAUUAAUGAAUUGAUUGAUGCCCUGAAUGAGAAGAACAUACUUUUAGAAAAGCAAGAGGAUUUGUUGUAUGAAGAACAUGAUAAAUUUGUAGAAGCUCAAAGAUCUCAUGCUCUAGAAGUUAAAAGAAAUGAAAUGCUUUCUUGUGAAUUAUCUUCUUGCCAUGAUACAAUUUCUAAAUUAAGGAGCAUUAAUGAUGAUUUGAAUGCUAAACUAGAAGUAGCUAAUAAAUCUAAGUCUUGUGUAGAACAUGUUGAGAUUUGCACUAGGUGUAAAGAUUUCGAUGUUGAUGCUUGUAGUAAUCAUUUAGUUUCAAUUUCCAAAUUAACUGAGGAUUUGGCUAGUCUUAAUGCCCAACUUAAGACUAGCAAGAAUGAAUUUGAGAAACUAAAAUUUGCUAGGGAUGCCUACACGGUUGGUAGACACCCCUCAAUUAAGGAUGGGCUUGGCUUCAAGAGGGAAGCCAAGAACUUAACAAGCCAUAAGGCUCCCAUUCCCACUAAGGAGAAAGGGAAGGCCCCUAUGGCUACUAGUGCUAAAAGGAACCAUGCCUUUUUAUAUCAUGAUAGAAGACAAACUAGAUAUGCGUAUAGGAGUUAUAAUGCAUAUGAUGAUUUUAACUCUCAUGCCAUGUUUGCUUCUAGUUCUUCCUAUAUGCAUGGUAGAAAUAUGUCUAGGAAAAAUGCUAUGCCUAGAAAGAAUGUUAUUUAUGCUCCUAGGAAAGUAGUGAAUGAACCUUCUACAAUUUAUUGUGCUUUAAAUGCUUCCUUUGCAAUUUGUAGAAAGGAUAGAAAGGUAAUUGCUAGGAAGUUAGGGGCAAAAUGCAAGGGUGAUAAAACUUGCAUUUGGGUCCCUAAGGAAAUUGUGACUAACCUUAUAGGACCCAACAAGAGUUGGGUACCUAAGUCCCAAGCCUAAAUUUGCCUUGCAGGUUUAUGCAUCCGGGGGUUCAAGCUGGAUUAUCGACAGCGGAUGCACAAACCAUAUGACGGGGGAGAAGAAAAUGUUCACCUCCUACGUCAAGAAUAAGGAUUCCCAAGAUUCAAUUAUAUUCGGUGAUGGGAAUCAAGGCAAGGUAAAAGGGUUAGGCAAAAUUGCAAUUUCUAAUGAGCACUCUAUCUCUAAUGUGUUUUUAGUAGAGUCUCUUGGUUAUAAUUUGCUAUCUGUUAGUCAAUUAUGCAACAUGGGGUAUAACUGUCUAUUUACAAAUGUAGGUGUGUCUGUCUUUAGAAGUAGUGAUGGUUCACUAGCUUUUAAGGGUGUAUUAGACGGCAAACUUUAUUUAGUUGAUUUUGCAAAAGAAGAAGCCGGUCUAGAUGCAUGCUUAAUAGCUAAGACUAGCAUGGGCUGGCUGUGGCAUCGCCGCUUAGCACAUGUGGGGAUGAAGAACCUUCACAAGCUUCUAAAGGGAGAACAUGUGAUAGGUUUGACUAACGUGCAAUUCGAAAAAGAUAGACCUUGUGCAGCUUGUCAAGCAGGUAAACAAGUAGGAGGAGCACAUCACAGCAAGAAUGUGAUGACCACUUCAAGACCCCUGGAGCUGCUGCAUAUGGACCUCUUCGGACCCGUCGCCUAUCUGAGCAUAGGAGGAAGUAAGUAUGGUCUAGUUAUUGUUGAUGACUUUUCCCGCUUCACUUGGGUGUUCUUUUUGCAGGAUAAGUCUGAAACCCAAGGGACCCUCAAGCGCUUUCUCAGGAGAGCUCAAAAUGAGUUUGAGCUCAAGGUGAAGAAGAUAAGGAGCGACAACGGGUCCGAGUUCAAAAACCUUCAAGUGGAGGAAUUCCUUGAGGAGGAAGGGAUCAAGCACGAGUUCUCCGCUCCCUACACACCACAGCAAAAUGGUGUGGUAGAGAGGAAGAACAGGACGCUCAUCGAUAUGGCGAGGACGAUGCUAGGAGAGUUCAAGACCCCCGAGUGCUUUUGGACGGAAGCCGUGAACACGGCUUGCCAUGCCGUCAACAGGGUCUACCUUCACCGCCUCCUCAAGAAGACUUCGUAUGAGCUGCUAACCGGUAACAAACCCAAUGUAUCUUACUUUCGUGUAUUUGGGAGCAAGUGCUACAUUCUAGUGAAGAAAGGUAGAAAUUCUAAGUUUGCUCCCAAAGCAGUAGAAGGGUUUUUAUUAGGUUAUGACUCAAAUACAAAGGCGUAUAGAGUCUUCAACAAAUCAUCGGGUUUGGUUGAAGUCUCUAGCGACGUUGUAUUUGAUGAGACUAAUGGCUCUCCAAGAGAGCAAGUUGUUGAUCUUGAUGAUGUAGAUGAAGAAGAUGUUCCAACGGCCGCUAUGCGCACCAUGGCGAUUGGUGAUGUGCGACCACAGGAACACUUGGAGCAAGAUCAACCUUCUUCCUCAACAACGGUGCAUCCCCCAACUCAAGACGAUGAACAGGUUCAUCAACAGGAGGCGUGUGAUCAAGGGGGAGCACAAGAUGAUCAUGUGAUGGAGGAAGAAGCGCAACCGGCACCUCCAACCCAAGUUCGAGCGAUGAUUCAAAGGGAUCAUCCCGUCGACCAAAUUCUGGGUGACAUUAACAAGGGAGUAACUACUCGGUCUCGAUUAGUUAAUUUUUGUGAGCAUUACUCCUUUGUCUCUUCUAUUGAGCCUUUCAGGGUAGAGGAGGCCUUGCUAGAUCCGGACUGGGUGUUGGCCAUGCAAGAGGAGCUCAAUAACUUCAAGAGGAAUGAAGUUUGGACACUGGUGCCUCGUCCGAAGCAAAAUGUUGUGGGAACCAAGUGGGUGUUCCGCAACAAACAAGACGAGCACGGGGUGGUGACGAGAAACAAGGCUCGACUUGUGGCAAAAGGUUAUGCCCAGGUCGCAGGUUUGGAUUUAGAGGAGACUUUUGCUCCUGUGGCUAGGCUAGAAUCAAUUCGUAUCCUGCUAGCAUAUGCCGCUCAUCAUUCUUUCAGGUUGUUCCAAAUGGAUGUCAAGAGCGCUUUCCUCAACGGGCCAAUCAAGGAGGAGGUGUACGUAGAGCAACCCCCUGGCUUCGAGGAUGAACGGUACCCCGACCAUGUGUGUAAGCUCUCUAAGGCGCUCUAUGGACUUAAGCAAGCCCCAAGAGCAUGGUAUGAAUGCCUUAGAGACUUUCUAAUUGUUAAUGCUUUCAAGGUUGGGAAAGCCGAUCCAACUCUUUUUACAAAGACAUGUGAUGGUGAUUUGUUUGUGUGCCAAAUUUAUGUCGAUGACAUAAUAUUUGGUUCUACUAACCAAAAGUCUUGUGAAGAGUUUAGCAGGGUGAUGACGCAGAAAUUCGAGAUGUCGAUGAUGGGCGAGUUGAACUACUUCCUUGGGUUCCAAGUGAAGCAACUCAAGGACGGCACCUUCAUCUCCCAAACGAAGUACACGCAAGAUCUGCUAAAGCGGUUUGGGAUGAAGGACGCCAAGCCCGCAAAGACUCCGAUGGGAACCGACGGACACACCGACCUCAACAAAGGAGGUAAGUCCGUUGAUCAAAAAGCAUACCGGUCAAUGAUAGGGUCAUUACUUUACUUAUGUGCUAGUAGACCGGAUAUUAUGCUUAGCGUAUGCAUGUGUGCUAGAUUUCAAUCCGAUCCUAAGGAGUGUCACUUAGUGGCGGUGAAGCGAAUUUUGAGAUAUUUAGUUGCUACGCCUUGCUUCGGGCUCUGGUAUCCAAAGGGGUCUACCUUUGACUUGGUUGGAUACUCAGAUUCCGACUAUGCUGGAUGUAAGGUCGAUAGGAAGAGCACAUCGGGGACGUGCCAAUUCUUAGGAAGGUCCCUGGUGUCAUGGAAUUCUAAGAAACAAACCUCCGUUGCCCUAUCCACCGCUGAGGCCGAGUAUGUUGCCGCAGGACAGUGUUGCGCGCAACUACUUUGGAUGAGGCAAACCCUCAGGGACUUUGGCUACAAUCUGAGCAAAGUCCCACUCCUAUGUGAUAAUGAGAGUGCUAUCCGCAUGGCGGAAAAUCCUGUUGAGCACAGCCGCACAAAGCACAUAGACAUCCGACAUCACUUCUUGAGAGACCACCAGCAAAAGGGGGAUAUCGAAGUGUUUCAUGUUAGCACCGAGAACCAGCUAGCCGAUAUCUUUACCAAGCCUCUAGAUGAGAAGACCUUUUGCAGGCUGCGUAGUGAGCUAAAUGUCUUAGAUUCGCGGAACUUGGAUUGACUUGUAGCAUACAUGUGUUUAUGCCUUUGAUCAUGUUCAUUCUGCAUUUUGUUGCUUGUUGUGGUGCUCAAGUUGUACAAACACUCCCUGGACCUCACAAGUCCGUUGCAAAGUGAUGCACAUGUUUAGGGGGAGAUGUGUUACAACUUGACCCUUUGAGACUAACUAUGUAGUUGAGUUUGCUUGAUUUAGUCUCAAAGGAGAAUUGAAAGGGAAAGGUGGACUUGGACCAUGAAAGACUUCCACUGCACUCCGAUGAGAGGGUAACUUAUUCCAAGUCCAUCUCAUGAACUCUUAUUGCCAUUUGCUCUUAAUUGAAGAUUUUGGUGAGGCAAUGGGGUUAAAGGGCCAAAGUUGAUCCCGUUUUGGUGCUUGAUGCCAAAGGGGGAGAAGAUAAAGGCCAAAGCAAUAAAUGGAUCAGCUACCACUUGAGAGAUUUGAAAAUAGUAGAGUAGAGCUUUUGUUUUGUCAAAACUCUCUUAUUGUCUCUUUUGUCAAAAGUUGGCUUCUUGUGGGGAGAAGUAGUAAUUAUGGGAAAAAGGGGGAGUUUUUGAAAUCUUUGAUCAAUCUCUUUUGGAAUGACUCUCUUUAUGCUUCAACAUGUGUGUUUGACUUAGAGAUAGAGAUUUGAGUUUGAUUUACAAAAACAAACCAAGUGGUGGCAAAGGAUGAUCCAUAUAUGCCAAAAUUGAAUAAAACUCAAAUUUGUUUUAUUUGAAGUGAUUUUGCACUUGUUCUAGUUGCUUUAUGUUGUGUUGGCAUAAAUCACCAAAAAGGGGGAGAUUGAAAGGGAAAUGUGCCCUUGGGCCAUUUCUAAGUAUUUUGGUGAUUGAGUGUCAACACAAGUGCUUAAAUGUAAAUCUAUGCCCGUGGAUGGACAAGUUGCAAAUCACAAGUAAAGGUAUGUUUCUAAGCCUUAGUACAUUGGUUUUGUGUACUAAUAUACUUGUCUAAGUGUUAGAAACAGAGAGAAGAAGAAAGAAGAAGGGUUGGCUGUGUACAGCCAAAAGGCUGCUUCGGUCUAGGGCACCGGACUGUCUGGUGGUGCACCGGACAGUGUCCGGUGCGCCAGGCUGCCUCGGGCGAAGACGCCACUCUCGGGAAUUUGCCGACGGCGUACGGCUAAAAUUCACCGGACUGUCCGGUGUGCACCGGACUGUCCGGUGAGCCAACGGUCGGCUGGGCCAACGGUCGGUCGCGCGAUCUGCGCGAGACACGUGGCCGAGCCAACGGUCGGAAGGGGGCACCGGACUGUCCGGUGUGCACCGGACAUGUCCGGUGCGCCAACGGCUCCCAGAUCUUUAACGGUCAGCAACGGUCGGCUGCGCUGUUUAUGGAAAUAAAUCGGGCACCGGACAGUGUCCGGUGUGCACCGGACUGUCCGGUGCGCCCGACGACAGAAGGCAAGGAUGGCCUUCCAGAUUUGUUCUCAACGGCUCCUAGCUGCCUUGGGGCUAUAAAAGGGACCCCUAGGCGCAUGGAGGAGUAUACCAAGCAUUCCUACAACAUUCUUAAGCACCAAGACAUCGAUCUCGCGCAUUCGUUUCGUUGUGAUAGCAUAUAGAGCUCUUGUGGAGUUGUGAACUCUUUGAGUUGUGUUGCGAGCUCUUGUUGCUACUUGUGUGCGUGUUGUUCUGAUCUUUUGAAGUCUUGUGUGCGUUGCUCAUUCCCCCUUUGCUAUGUGUUUCUUUGUGAAAUUCAAUUGUAAGGGCGAGAGACUCCAAGUUGUGGAGAUUCCUCGCAAACGGGAAAAGAUCAAAGAAAAGAAGAACACCGUGGUAUUCAAGUUGAUCAUUGGAUCACUUGAGAGGAGUUGAGUGCAACUCUCGUCCGUUGGAACGCCACAACGUGGAGUAGGCAAGUUUUGUACUUGGCCGAACCACGGGAUAACCACCGUGUCAUCUCUGUGAUUGGUUUCUUGUGGUUAUUGUGUUUUGACUCCUCUCUAGCCACUUGGCCAUAAUUGUGCUAACACUUAACAAGUUUUUGUGGCUAUAAGUCUAAGUUUUACAGGAUCACCUAUUCACCCCCCCUCUAGGUGCUCUCAGAUUGUUGGUGUCACUUAUUACUAUGUUGGGUGUAUUGUGUUUCUGUGCCGAUUUCAGGGUAAUUGUCCAGACAGAAACUCCUUGCACCUUCUCACUGUCCCCGUCCCCAUGGAGAGGAGUGAGAGGAGCAGGAGGGCGAGGAAGGACAAGUGGCGCCCUCGACAGGGACGAACUCGGUCAUGUACACGCAGGAGCUGCUGGACGCGGACGGCGGCGGCAGUGCCCCGGACUCAGUGGCUCAACGGGAUAGACUUCCUAGAGCGGCUGCUGCUCAUGGGCGACUCGAUGAACCGGAACCAGUUCGAGUCCAUGCUCUGCGCGAGGCCUUGCCGAACACGGCCAGAUGUUCGAGAUGCACGAGCACAGGAUCAGCAAGGGCCAAGGCUUCUUCAUCUUCGAGUUCACGAUAAUAAUAAAUCAGCCAAGUGUGGCAUUGUGUAAAAUAGCAUGGAAGCUAGAGUAAUUAUUUUUUAUCUCAGUGGUUCCCACUCAAGGAGCUUGGUGUUUCUGAUCUCAAUGUUUUUUGGUACAAGGUUUGGCAUGCGUGCAAGUGACUUUUUCCUUAAUAUGUGCUGACUUUUGGCAACUCUAAUGUACUGGUGCCAAGGGUUAGAUUCAUUUGUAUUUGUUGAAUUUCUAAUUAUCUGUUUUCUUAUGACAACCCUAGGAUAAUAAUAUUAUAUGUUUCCGUUGCAGCACACGAACACUUAACUAUAGUAUUAUAUGUUUCUGUUGCAACACACAGUCACUCACCUAGUUAUAUAUGAUGAUAUGUGAGAAGUAGAAAAUAAAAAAGAAAUGGAAAGGGGGGGGGGGGGGGAGGACAGUAGUAGUGGCCCAUCUUCGUCGCAGCGCCGGCGCUCCAUCUUUCGCUCCAUCCCUUACUCGCGCUCGGCACACCGGCUCUCAGGGCGGCGGCGCUCAGGCUCGGGCUCUCAAGCGACGGCGUCAACGGCUUCCCCUCCCGCCUCCGGUCCUCCGCACACCGGCCGGUGACCCUGCGUGCGUGCCUCUCUCUAUCUCUCCUCUCUCCUCUGUUGGAUCGUCAACAGCGCUCUGCCCCGGCGGCUGCGCCGCGCGGGCCUGAGGGCAGCGGGAUCCAGCAGCCACUGCUUCACCAAGGCGGUCGCGCCGAUUUGGGAGCGUUUAUGCCCCAAAACAAAGCGAUACCCGUCCUCUUAGCGCUUCAGCGCGCUAAGACGUGCGCUUAGUGCCGCUUUUUGGAACCCUAAUUAAGCUGUUUUUAUUGGUGUGUGUAUUAAUAGUAUUGACAUUAAGAAUACAAGUAGUGUGUACUAUUAGUUUCAUCCACCUUGAUUAUUAGGCGCAAGAUUUAGGGUAAGUUGCAUUGUGCAUGUGUAUUGUUCCUUCAUGCUGACAUUAGCUCACUUCUGAAAUUCUUAGUCAACUACAGUGUCAGCUACACAUCAGGUCACUCCAUCAAAUCGAUGUACACCUGCUUAUUGAGGGCAUCGAUCAACGGCUAUGUGGAUGGAAAAGAAAAUGGCUUGCUUAACAGAACGGGCCGCCUUACGCUUGUCUCUUUGGUUCUCUCUGCCAUGCCAACCUAUCAUCUUACCAUAUUCCCCUUGGCGGCAUGGGCAAAUAAGAAAAUUGACAAAAUUAGGAGGCCUUUCCUACAGAAAGGGGAGGAAAAUGCGAAUGGAGGAUAUUGUCUGUUUAAUUGGCGAACGGUCACCCGCCCGAAGGAUCUUGGAGCAUUAGGCGUACCCGACCUAGAGAGGUUCGGCCGUGCAACUCUUACUUGAUGGUUGUGGCAGGAUUGGGCGGAAGACUCCAAACCUUUGAUCGGGAUGGGCCUUCCUUUUAAUGAUGUUGAUCGCCUACAAUUCAAUUUCUCGACCACAAUCACUUGCUCGCUUCUGGCACACCAAUUGGCUUGAAGGAGAAACAACAUAAAUACCUGGCCCCAAAUCUCUCCAAGUUAGCCAUUAGUAAGAAUAAAACAUUGCAACACGAACUCCGAAACAACAGUUGGAUACACAGCGACGCCAUUUCACCACCUUUACCAACAUUGAGGAGUUAGUCUCCCUCUAGAUCAAGAUCCAUGAUGUGCAUCUCACACAAGGUGUCAAAGACUCCACCUAGAAAUGGACACCAGAUGGCAAGUACUCUACUCACUCAGCAGUCAGCAUACCAUGUUCAAUUCAGUGUUUUUUUCACAAAAUUCCGAAGGGACCUCAUUUGGAGAGCACUUGUAGAAAAUAAGUGCAAGGUCUUCUCCUGGAUCCCAAUUAAGGGAAAACUACUAAUGGAAGAUAACAUGGAAAAAAGGGUUGGCUGCACGAGGAACACUAUGUUCUCUGCAACGGGCCUUUGGAGACCCGGCUGCACCCAUGCUUUUGCUACCCAUUUGAUAAGGCAGCUUGGAAUCAAAUCCUUGCUUGAGAGCACUUUGACAGAGUGACAGACCAUUGGGACAGCAACAGGCUGACCCCUCAAAGAUCAUAUAGUGGUGGGAAAUUGCCUCAAGUAAGGUGUAUUGUAGUGAAUGAAGAUGGUUGAGUGGCAUGGUGAUUUAUAUAUUCUGGAACCUCUAGAAAGAGAAACAGAAGAAUCUUCAAUAACGCCUAUGAAACAGUGAUGCAGGUGGCCGCAAGAAUUAAUAGAGCAGAGAAGAAGAGUGAUAGCGGACUAUUUAUCUUUUGUGUGAUCUUUCUUGCUCCUGCCCCAGAGGGGUGUGGUAUUUUUGCUUGUACAUAAACAUUCCUUUUUUCCUAUCUUAAUUGAAGGGCAGAGAUCCUGCCAAACUUUCAAAAUAAUGUGAACUAUAGUGUGGCUUCUUGAUU
rnacentral:lncRNA from 1 species